rnacentral:lncRNA from 1 species
UUGGGGCAUAGGGGUAGGGUGAUUGAGAUGUUGGGGAAGGAGUGUUUGGAGGUGACGGAAUGUAGGGAGGUUGGGAAAUGGGAGAAGGAGUGGUGGAUGGUGGUGUGGAAAUGUAAGAAGGUGGCUGGGAUAUUGGGGAAGGAGUGGUGGAUGGUGGUGUGGAAAUGUAAGGUGGCUGGGAUAUUGGGGAAGGAGUGGUGUUUGGAGGUGAUGGGAUGUAAGGAGGCUGAGAUAUUGGGGAAGGAGUGUUUGGAGGUGAUGGGGUGUAAGGAGGCUGGGAAGUAGGAGAAGGAGUAUUGGGUUGUGGAGGCACAUAAGGUGACUGAGAAAAGGGUGAUGGGGUUAUUGGAACAAAGGGUGGUUGAUGAUGAGGGGAAGGGGUGUUUGGAGGUAGAGGAGCAUGGGGUGGAUGGUUAUUAGGGGAAGGAGCAUAAGUGGGAGAAGGUGUGUUGGGAGGUAUGGGAGCAUAGGGUGGUUGAGCUUUGGGAGGAAAGGGAAGAUUAGUAGGAGGUGAAGGUGCUUCUGGAGGAGUAUAAACAGGGGGAGGAGUUUGAUGAGGUGGAUAAGGAGCUUUUGGAGGAGAAUAUGGAGGAGGCUCUCUCACAGCCAACACCACAAUAAUAAGUUUCUGACCCUUCUCACAAUUAUAAUCUUUUCCACUGAUGAAAUAAAAGGGACCCGAACGAUCAAACUGAAACUGGGAGGCACCAUCCUCAAACUUCUUGAUCGGGUUCUUCUUGUUACAUUUCUCAUAAUCCUCUUUGUUCACCACCAAAACCGAGUCCGAUCCCUUCUUGUACUUAAAAACUAUGAACAGGAAAAAACAUACAAGUUAAAAGCAUUCAUUCAGAAGGCAGAAAAAAAACUGGAAAGCUUUAGAAUGAAAAUGAACUGACCAAGAGUGUCACUGACUUGGAACCUCAUCCUUUCAGCCCAGUGAUUGUAAUUCUCAGAAGGGUACAAAAGCCACCCAUCUUUUCCACCAACGUUGAAGGUGUAUGCCUGAGACCCCGAGAGGAGACUGAAAAGAAACGACAAGAGACAAAAAACACUAAUCCGAAGCUCCAUGUUGCAGAGAGAGAGAGGAGAGAGAGAAGGAAGAGAGGUGUAGAAAGAAGUGAUGAAAUGGAUUGAUAUAAAGAAAGUGUUGUCCUUGGUUACCGUUGUUGGGGUGCUUGUAGUGUAGGACCAGCGAAGCGUGUUAAACGCGGUGGGGGGGUUUACGUGGGAAGACUAAGACUUACAUGUGGGCAAAUGAUAGAGAAAGAGAAAUUAAAGUUUGAGAAAGUUUGUUUAAUAUAAUAAUAUAUAAUAUGCAGCUACGUGCCACACUUCCCAGCACUGCCAUCUAUCACCAUUCGGACUCAUUUUAUUUUGAAAUUUCCAACCUCACCGAUGCUAUAUGCUUUCUACACAUUAAAAUGUUUCAAAAACAAUAAUAAUAGAAAGAAAACCAAAUCACGGAACUCUAUUGUUUCUGGUAUAUCCAUAUGCUACACUAUUCCGAUUCUCAUUUCAGACCCAUUAAUAAUUCUGCUAUUCCAUGCUUAGAUUGUUCCAAAUCAUAUACUGUAUCAAACAGAGACAGGGACAAAUUUUAAUAGGUUCUUGCUGAUUAACAAAUAUUAAAUUGUUCUCUAUCUUUUGUUCACAUAUAACCUGUGAAGAAUAAAUAGACGGAUUUUAAUUUUUUUCAUAAAGAUUAAAUAUGAAAAUGGUGUGUGUCUGCUUUGAGAGAGAUUAGCAACUAUUGGAAGAGCAUUUGGAUCGUCAAUCUACAGUUAUGCCUUUGGUCCACAAUGACUAUAAUAAAAUUUGAUUUAUUUAAGAAAGAGUAAACGAUAAUUAAGUUUCCAAAGAAAUUAAAUAUUAUUUUAAUUUCACUGUAUUUUAUUAUUAAGUUUUACAAAAUUAUUUUAUUAAUAAAAAAUAUCUUAAAGACCAAUUCCACAUGAACUUAGAUAUUAUUUUAUCAUAAAACUACAGUUUUCUGGAUCAAUUUGAAAAAGUAAUAAAAAUUUAUACUUUUUCAAUAAUUUUAGGUAUAAGUAUCUUGUCAUAUCAGUUAGAAAUGUUAGAAAUGGUCAUGAAAAAAAUAUUAUUAAAAAAAUAUAAAAUAUUAAGUUGAACGUUUAAAUAUGUUUUUUUUAUGUAUUUUUACUUAAAAAUAGCUUCUUUUUAGUUUAAAUUUUUAGAAUUUUUAGUUAUUUGUAAUAAGGGGACUAGAAUAAGUUUUUAUUAAUAUUUUUUUAUAUAAUAAUAAGUUAGUAUGAAAAUAUUUUAUCAUUCUGAUACAUAUUAAAAAUCUAUUCUGAUACGUAUUAAAAACCGGUUUAUCAUGUAGAAAAAAAUAUGAUAAAAGAUUAAUUUCAAUAGUUUCUUUAUUAUAAUAGUCUAAAAUUUAGAAUAGAAAAUAAAAAUUUCUGUGAAAUAAAAGUACAUUUAAUCCUUAAAUUUAUAAAGUUUUUAAUUAAUAAAAUAUAAUUUUAAAAUUAGUUUUUAUUAUUUAAAAUUAAAGGCAAAAUUAGUCAUUUACUAGUUAAGAAAUAAACCUCUAGUCGUCAUCCUUUGUUUUUUUUUUAGUCAAAACGUAUGCUUUGUUUUGCUUUUUCAUAGACUGUUUGGUACGUGAAAUUGACUACCCAGUUAGGAGUUAAUCAUCACAUCCACUUUACAUCAUGUUUUGCUUUUAUUAACAUUUUUAUUAAGUGAUUAGGUUUUUUCAUUAGAUUAGAUGACAAGUGUAAAGUAUUUAAAAUUUGUAUGAAUAACUAAUUUCUAUCAUUUACCCACUUUUAGAAUUUUAGUAGAAUAUACAAGUAUUACUUAAUAAAAAUAUUUUAUAUUAAAAAAAAUCUAUAGUUUUAAAAAUUGGAUUCCUUUUAUAAGAAAACAUUAAAGCCAAACACACCUUAAUUAUUACAUUUUGUGGAUGAAUGUUGACCUAUUUAAAAUUUGUAUGAAUAACUAAUUUCUAUCAUUUACCCACUUUUAGAAUUUUAGUAGAAUAUACGAGUAUUACUUAAUAAAAUUAUUUUAUAUUAAAAAAAAUUCUACAGUUUUAAAAAUUGGAUUCCUUUUAUAAGAAAACAUUAAAGCCAAACACACCUAAUUAUUUCAUUUUGUGGAUGAAUGUUGACCUAUUUAAAAUUUGUAUUAAUAACUAAUUUCUAUCAUAUACCCACUUUUAGAAUUUUAGUAGAAUAUACGAGUAUUACUUACUUAAACUAUUUUAUAUUAAAAAAAAGUCUAUAGUUUUAAAAAUUGAAUUUCUUUUAUAAGAAAACAUUAAAGCCAAACACACCUUAAUUAUUACAUUGUGUGGAUAAAUGUUGACCUAUUUAAAAUUUGUAUUAAUAACUAAUUUCUAUCAUAUACCCACUUUUAGAAUUUUAGCAGAAUAUGCGAGUAUUACUUAAUUAAAUUAUUUUAUAUUAAAAAAUAGUUAUAGUUUUAAAAAUUGGAUUCCUUUUAUAAGAAAAUAUUAAAGCCAAACUCACCUUAAUUAUUACAUUUUGUGGAUGAUUGUUGACCUAGAGAAAGCCAUUAGAAUCCCAUCUAAUCUUGUACUUGGAAUUUAUUGGUGAAGAGUAGAAAUUUCCGAUAUCUGAAUAACAUUAUUGUUUGGUACAAUAACGUUACCAUAUUUUAAAUUAGUAUAUAUGAUGGGACAUGAACACUUAUUUCCUCUAAAAUCUUUAUUUUAAAAAAUCUCCAAGUAAAUUACUAAAAUGACAUCAUUUUUCAUUGAAACUCAAAUAUGCCUUUCAAAUAUCAUUCACAUUUUGUUCCUAUCUUAAAUAAUCUUUUCCAUUUAUACAAUGUGUGAUAUCACUCACUUAUCUUAUUUAAUUAACAUCUAGGUACUUAAUAGUAUACUACUAAUUAAAACGCGUCACUUUACCGUUAGUAUUUAAUAUUAGGUUAUAGGCAUGCUAAGAAUGAUUAUAAGUGUAUUAUUAAUAUUAACUCUCCCUCCCUAAUAUGGCUGUAUCAUUUCUUCCUCUCAUUGAUUGUUUAUUCAAUAUCAAUCUUGUACUCUCUUUUCUUAUAUUUUUUAGUAAAAAUAAACAUAAAACAUUUAUUUUAAUUGUCACAAAUUUGUGUAUUUUAAAAUGAGUUAUAUAGUAAUGCAUUCACAUUAUACAAUAAUUUUAUUUUAUCAUAUAAUAUUAAAUAAAUAAUAACUCUUAAUAAUUUCUAAAAUAGAUAUUGAUAAUUUCAUUUUAUCAUAAAAUGGUUGUUUAUAGUGAUUUACUAUUCACAGACAACCGAGAAUAUGGGGUAAAAUGGGAGAAUGAAGGGAAGGUCAAGAAAAAUUAGUUAAUGUGAUUUUUUCAAUUUUACCAUUUUUUUAUAUAUUAAUUAUUACAUAAAUUUAAUUAACAUUAAUAUUUUAAUAAAAUAAUAAUAAUUAAUAAAAUUUGAUGGAGGUGUGCCUUCAUCCGUAGCUUUUCUUUGGUGGAAUUGGCGGAAACAUUCAUGGAAGAAGACGAGCAAGGAACUCAUGAAGAGUGGUGGACUCCUUGAAGGUGCAUGCUAGGUGUGGAGAGUGAGUGGUGAGGCCAUCUCACUUGGCAAAGAUGAAGAAUGAAGAUUAAAAUGUCUAUCCUAGAGAGGUAGGAGACAAGAAGCAAAAUUGGCACAAUUUUGGCAGCAAUUUGCUCGAGAAUAAUCUUGCUAUUUCAUGACCCAAACACCUCCUUAUAUAGGAUUGGAGGGUCAGAAUUGGAAGAGUCAAAUACAAAUGAAAUACAAACUAAAUAAAAUGUGAUGCAUUUGGCGCCUAAUUUGAGACUUAGCACAUGGAGCAUGUGAUGGAAAGCUUUUAAGCACAUGGAACAUGUGCUUUCUUCUCCAAGGCUUAGUCAUAACCGACCUUGGUUAAUUUAGGUGUUCAAAGAACCCUAAUUUAACCAAGGUUGGUUUUUAGGUACCAAAUUUCACCUAAAAAGAAAUUACAAGUAAAAUUUCCUAUUUUACUUUAACAAAAUUAAAUCCUACUUCUUACACUAGAGUUUAUGGCAUUUUAAACACGUACAAGAAGGUUUCUCUGCCAUCAGUAGCAGUAUUUCAAUCAUUUUGAUCCUUCUUGGCCAUGACUCUAGUGGUAGGCCCAAAUCUUCUCUUUGUUGGGCUUGCACUUGGACUUGUCCUUGGGCCUCUUCCAUCAUCCCCUCCCUCUUGAAAAGGAUUUGUCCUCAAAUCCAAUGCUUCUAUUUCUUCUUCUUCAUUACUUCCUACAAAAGGCAUUAAGUCCACAACAUUAAAAGUAUGAUGAACUCCAUAUUCUUUUGGUAAAUCAAGAAUAUAUGCAUUGUUGUUGAUUCUUUUGAGGACUUGGAAGGGUUCGUCACCUUGGGGACUAAGUUUGGACUUCCUCUUAGUUGGAAAUCUAUCUUUCCUAAGAUGAAACCAAAUUAAAUCUCCUUCUUCAAAAAUUAUCUCUCUCUUCCCCUUAUUGUUAUGUUUUGUAUAUUUCUCAGUUUGCUGAUGUAUUUGUUCUUUAACCCUCUCAUGCAUUUUCUUAACAAAUUCAGCUUUUAUUACUCAUUCCUUAUGCACAAAUUCUUGUGGAUUAGGAAGGGGCAACAAAUCUAAAGGAGUAAGAGGAUUAAAUCCAUAAACAACCUCAAAUGGAGAAAUAUUAGUAGUUUUAUUAACUACUCUAUUGUAUGCAAACUCAAUAUGAGAAAGAUACUCAUCCCAAGAUUUAUGGUUGCCUUUCAUGACUGCCCUAAGCAUAGUACCAAGAGAUCGAUUUACAACUUCGGUUUGUCCAUCCGUUUGAGGAUGACAAGAAGUUGAAAAUUCAAUUUGGUUUCAAGUCUUGCCCAAAGGGUUCUCCAAAAAUGGCUUAUAAAUUUUGGAUAUCUAUCGGAGACUAUGCUUCUAGGUAGUCCAUGAAGUCUUACCACAUCUCUAAAGAAAAGUCUAGAGAUAUUAUUUGCAUCAUCCACUUUGUGACAUGGUAUAAAAUGUGCCAUUUUACUAAAACGAUCCACAACCACAAAAAUGGAAUCAGAACCUCUUGCAGUCUUAGGAAGUCCAAGAAUAAAAUCCAUACUAAUGUCUUCCCAUGGAGCACUUGCAAAAGGUAAAGGAGUAUAGAGUCCAUGAGGAAUUGUUUUAGACUUAUCUUUUAAACAUGAUAUACAUCUAAAACAAUGUCUUUGGACGUCUCUUAUCAUAUGUGGCCAAAAGAAUUUUCCUUUUAAAAGCUCUAGAGUCUUAUCAACUCCAAAAUGGCCCAUGAGACCUCCUUCAUGAGAUUCUUUUACAAGAAGUUUUCUAUGUGUUCCUUGAGGUAUACAAAGUUUUCCUUCUUUAAAAAGAUACCCCUCAGACACAAAAUCCUCCUUUUUCUCUAUGUUCUCAUUUAACAAAGAUGGAUGUAAAAUCAUGAUCUUCUUUGUAGAGUUCAAUUAUGUUUUCAAAUCCAAGAAUUUGGGCUCCAAGUUUUGAAAACAGGGCAUGUCUCCUUGAGAGAGCAUCGACCAUAAUGUUUGUACUACCCUUCUUGUAUUUGAUAACAUAAGGAAAUUGUUCAAGAAGUUUCAUCCAUUUUGCAUGUCGUUUGUUCAACUUAUGUUGACCUUUCAAAUAUUUUAAAGGCUCAUGAUCACUAUGAAUGACAAAUUCUUUAGAGACUAGAUAGUGCUCCCAAGUCUUUAAGGUCCUCACAAGUGCAUAAAGCUCUUUAUCAUAGGUGGGGUAGUUGAGAGUGGCUCCAUGAAUUUUUUCGCUAAAGUAAGCAAUUGGAUGUCCACCUUGCAACAACACGACACCUAUGCCUACUCCCGAUGCAUCACACUCUAGCUCAAAAGUUUUUGCAAAAUUUGGUAAAGAUAGAAUGGGUGCAUUAGUGAGUUGAGCUUUUAGCCUCUUGAAGGCUUGAUCUUGCUUCUCGGUCGAACAAAAUGGAGUGUCUUUCUUCACUAACUCAUUGAGUGGCUGAUGUAACCCAAAAAUACAUAAAGAUGACCAAGGAUGUUAUACUUGAAGGGUCAUCUAAAUAAGGAAAUAAGAACUUCAUCAAUAGAAGAAAUGGACGAGGCCCAAAGCAUUUAAAGUUCUUCUUAUUGUCUUCUCAAAAGAUGAGGCCCAAGCCCAAUUAAUAUCUUUUGUAAUAUUUUUAGAAUAGUUUCAAGAUAGAACAUUAAAAGGGAAGUAAUAGGAAAAGUCACUUUUCUAGAAUGAGGAAGUGACUUGAAAAAGGGUGGCAUUUACCUUGUCUUUUCAUAUGCCUUGCCUUUUCAUUUACAAGUGACUCUUCAUGUAUUUUUACCUUUUCAUGACCGGUUCUCUAUGCCUAUAUAAAGAGGAGCCUUGCUUUUGUAAACACAAGUUGAAUCUUUUAGUAAAGAAAGUAUACCAAAUUGGUGUGAGAGAGUUUGUGAGACUAGUUCUCCUCUCUUCUUCCUAGUCUUAUCUUGGGAGAUUCUUGGAACUCUCAAGUGGCGGCAUCCACUCAUCUUGAAGCUUCUCCACCCUUCAAGUGGCGUGAACAUUCCAAGGGUCAUCAACCACAUAAGUUUCUUCUACCUUUUCAUGUUCUUCUUCCAUUUCCAUGUCAAUCAAAACUAUAAAACAUGUGUCUUUGUUGUUCUUGAUGUUUCAAGCAGUAGAAAUGUGUUAGGUUCUGCUUUUAAUUGGUUCAUUGUAAUUUCUCGCUGUUGUAUUCGGUUUAUAUGUGCUUAAUUGAUAUUUCAAUCGGUGCAUUUGUCUCCUUUUCACAAAUCAAUCGGUUCAUGUUCUUCUUAUGGGUUUCUAUGCGGUUUUGGCUUGGUUUUUGUGUUCUUGAAUGAUUAUAGAAUCUUGAUCCAAUUCUUGAAAAUGUCUUUUCAUAUACCAACUCAUAUCAGUGGUGAAGCUAGACUUGAGAAGUUAGGCACAAAUCUUCUAUAAAAGCUUGCUAAUCCAUGAAAACUUCUAACUUCCCCUACAUUUUGUGGAAUUGGCCAUUCUUGGAUGGCUUUGAUUUUUUCGGGGUCAACAUGUACCCCAUUUUUGUUAACUAUAAAUCCUAAAAAUACUACACUAUCAACACAAAAAGUACAUUUAUCUCUAUUAGCAAACAAACUAUUAUUCUUAAGCACUAGGAGAACUUCCCUAAAGCGACUUAGGUGAGAUUCUAAACUUUUGCUAUAUACUAAAAUAUCAUCAAACUAAACUACUACAUAUUUACCUACACAAUCCCUUAAGACAUGAUUCAUUAGCCUCAUGAGAGUGCUAGGAGCAUUAGUGAGCUCAAAAGGCAUCACUAACCAUUCAUAUAGUCCAAAUUUGGUUUUAAAAGCGAUUUCCCACUCAUCACCUUCUUUAAUUCUAAUUUGGUGAUAUCCACUUCUAAGAUCAAUUUUAGAAAAUAUGAUGGACCCAUGCAAUUCAUCAAGCAUGUCAUCUAGUCUUGGAAUUGGAUGCCUAUACUUGAUGGUGAUGUUAUUGAUGGCUCUACAAUCACAACACAUUCUCCACUUGCCAUCUUUUUUGGGCACCAACAAGACAGGUACAACACAAGGGCUUAGGAUCUUUUGAACCCAACCCUUAUCCAACAAAUCAUGCACUUGUGAUUCUGUCUCCUUAGUUUCUUCAGAAUUAGUUCUAUAGGCUGGUCUAUUUGGUAGACUAGCUCCUGGAACUAAAUUUAUUUGAUGUUCAAUUCCUCUAAAAGGGGGAAGUCCACUAGAGCCUUCCUUAGAGAAUAUGUCAUCAAAGUCUUUUAAAAGAUCUUUUACUUGAGGAGGUAGAACACAUGUCUCAGUAAGCGUAGCAAUGCAGGUAAGUGUUCCUUUACAAAGUAGGAGGUUUGAAGGUUCUUCAAAAAGAAGUAUUUUUUCGAUCUUAUUUUCAAAUUUUUCUUCUUCUUUCUGAAUGACCUUGUGGGAAGGAACACUCUUUUCCCAUGCCUCUUUUUCCCUAAGGGUUUUUUCUUGGUUUUUUACUCUAUUUUUCUCUUCCUCUCUUUGUUUUCUCAUUUGUAGUUGGUCCUUUAUCACUUGGGAAAAUGAUAAGGGAUAAAGUACAAACUUCUUUUCUUUGUGAGUGAAAGUAAUCUCAUUGGUAAGACCAUUGUGGUUUUCUUAUCAAAUUGCCAAGGUCUUCCCAACAAAAUAUGACAAGCUUUCAUGGGCACUACAUCACACAAAACUUUAUCCUUAUAGUUCCCCACAGAAAACUCGACUUUCACUUGUUGAUCUACAGUUAAAUCCCCAUCUUCAUUGAUCCAUUGAAGUUUGUAAGGUUUUGGAUGAGGGAUUAACUGUAGAUUCAACUUUUCAACCAUCCUAGCGCUACAACAAUUGCAGCAAGAACCACUAUCCACAAUGAGAGAGCACACAUUUUCAAAAACUUUACACCUUGUGUGAAAUAUGUUCUCCCUUUGUGUCUCUUGGCUCAUACUAGGUUGAUUGUUGAGGGUUCUACGGAUCAUCAUUAAUUCACCCUCACAUGGAUAAGCCCCUUCAUUAUCUUUUUUUUCUUCUUCCCCACUAGCUUCAUUACUUUAGCUGCUAUAUACUGUUGGGUCUAUUAGUGUCUAAGUUCAAGAGGGGAGGGGUGAAUUGAGAUUAUAAAAUUUUCGCAAGACCACACAAUUUUUCAGUAUUCCAGAGGCAAAAAGAACAGAUUGUUUUUACAUGAAACAGAUUGAUUCUUCAGAGCAGUCUUGGCACAAUUUGAAUUUGUUCAAUGUAAAAUUGUGAUCAACAGAGAAUUAUAACAAAAUCAGAUCAGUUUAAUAUUGUGAGGAUGAAGGAUACAGUUAUGCUUAGAAAUCAAGCAAAAUUACUCAACACAAGGUUUUGAGAGGAAUGAUCCUUUCUCAGGUUUUAAUGAAUGGACAGUUUGUUCACAAAUCACUUAAACCAUUAUAUACAGCAGCCUUGUUUAUGAUCAGAGAACUUUAACAAAUCAGGAAGAACAAUUUUCACUUAAACCCAGAAUUAACAGAUUCAAUUUCAAAAGAACAGAUUUAGUUCUUGACAGAAUUAAACAAAAAAAAAAACAGAAAUGAGUGCAGGGACGAGAAGACAAGGCACACAAGUUUUUAUACUGGUUCACUCAUACAGAGCUACAUCCAGUCUCACCUUACCCCAAGGUGGAAUUCACUAAAAAUAGUACCAAUCACUUACAAACACAGCAGUUCUUGAACACUACAAGAACAACACACACAAUGCUGAAAAACCCUAUUUCAGCACACCUUGCACUCCAAGAAACCCUAUCAAGGAGUGACUAACACUUACACCUUUACAAAACAGAAUAAAGGAAAGAUUACACCUGAAAAGAAGAUGCAAGAACCCAAAACCAGUAGUUCAAUUUGCUGCAGAACUGCACCAACACCUUCACCAAGAUCAAAGGUUUCCUAGAACAAGCACACUUGAAAAUCUCUUUGGAAAACCUUUCAAAAAUCUUUCAAUCCUUCUUCUCACAUGGAAAGUGUUUGAUCUCUGUCAAAAACGUAAUUGCUCAGCCCUACUUUCAUGUGAGAGAGACUUUUCUUUAUAUAGAAAACAGUUUCUAACUUCUUUUCAAAAAAAUAGUUGAAAAGCAGUUAUGAAAACAACAGAUUCAUUUUUGAACUUAACAGAUUUAUUUUGUGAAAACCGCCAACUCAACUAACUGAAAUAACUGUCUGAGUUGUAUCUUUGGUGCCCUAACUAACUUGUGAAAAACCUUUCAACUCACCAAAGAAUAAACCUGUUCUUUCUCAGUGAAACAGAUUAAAAUAUAGCAAACAGGCCAGCUCAACUUUAACUGAAAUAACUGUCUAAGCUUUACCUGUGGUGCCCUAACAGAAUUUUAGAAAAGCCUUUUAACAGAGAAGAAAUAAACAGAUUCUUUCUCCAUAAAACAGAUUUAUUUGUGUACUGUUUUAAAGCUGUUAAAAACAUUUUAAAAAGCUUUUCAAAAACCAUUUAACCACAUCAUGUGCUUGAUCUAGACUUGGUUAGGCAUCUAGGAUGGGUUAUUCAGCAAAAGGCAACCUUACACAAUUACAAGCCUAAUUAUAACCGAAUCUAAAACCUAUUACAAUCUUCAAAGCACUCAAGUUAUUUUCUUCAUCAAACACACAUCAAGCCUUGGUAGGGAAGAAGCUUCCUCCAACUUCAACAUAUACAUCCUUACCCCUUUAAGAAUAUAGUUCUCCUAUUUUGGCAUUGGGAAGCUAUAUGACCUCUUCCAAAGCAUUUAAAACAUUUUUUUAUCUCGGCUACGGGAUUGUGGGGUUAUCACUUCUUUAUCUAUAUUUUUGGGAGUUUCCUUAGAUCUUUCCUUUGAAGUUUCCUCCCUUUUAUACUCUCUCUUGGGAUAGGAGUUAGAAUAUGAACCUUCCCUACGACUUGAAGCUUUUCUUAAGUUUUGUUGUUCAACUUUGAUACAGAGUUGAAUUAAAUCAUUCAAGUGUCUAUAUGGUAAAAGUUAAACUCUAUCUCUAAUCUCAAGAUUGAGUCCACUCAAAAACCUUGCUAUGGUAGUGGUUUUAGACUCCCUAAUUGAGGCUCUCAUCAUGUAUAAUUCCAUUGUUUUGCCUAUAUUCCUCUACACUCAUAGUCUUUUGUUGGAGUCUUUGGAGUUUGUCCAUUAACUCCCUAUUAUAAUAGGAGGGAAUAUGGCGGCGUCUUAAGGCUCGUUUUAGUUAGUGAUCUCGGCUCAGCUAGUCCUUUCUUUCGUGAUGAACUGUUGGCUCCCCUAAGAUCAUUCUAAUACUCUAUGGGAGGGUUCUUAUGAAGGUGCCUAUCUUGCUCAAGGGCAGUCCACCAAUACAUAGCAUUACCUUGAAAGCUUAGGGUGGCUAGGGGUACUUUUCGUUCCUCACUCACUCUAUGGGAAACAAACAAUUAUUCUACCUUCAUUUCCCAAUUUAAGUAAGUUUCUACGUUUUCCAUGGAAAUAAGGUAGAUCUACCCUAACCUCCUUUUCUUGUCUUUCUCUUCUAGCUCUCCUAGGGGGUGGUUGAUAAUAGUAAUUAAUCUAAUAUUUUGUUCCCCAAAAGAUUCAUCUCCCCUAGAGCUAGAUGCAUGAGAACUUUUUUUUGAUUUAUUGUUUUCAUCCCUUUCUUUAGCCAAUUUCAAUUCUUUGAGUUGGGACUCAUUUUGCAAUUGUUUAUAUGAAAGUGAUUGAAAGUCUUGUGCUAAUUGUUUCAAAAGAGUUUUAAUAGACUCUCUAUCACUUUCACUAGAAUGAUAAGAAUGAGAAGUCAUGGUUAAAGUUAUGUGUUAAAAGCAAUUUACUAAAAGAAAUAUAGGUGGAGUAAUGUAGGUAGAUUCCCAAGAAAGGGAGGUGGAUCACUUAAGUACCAAGCCUUUCCUUGCCAGAUUCUAUCCUUCAAGACUUUCACAAACCUUUUUCUAAGUAAUUCACUUAGAACACAAUCAAGAAUGAAAACAAUUUUAAGAAAAACAAUGCAAAGCAAUUAAACAAAGCAAAACAAUUAAACAAAACAAAGUAAUUAGAUAAUACAAUUUGAAAAGAAUUGCUAUCUAGUAAGAUUUAAACUAGGCGUAUCCUAAGGUGAGGCUUCUAGGCACUUAGAACCAUUGAAGACACAUUCACCGUCUAUUACGCAAUACAAAGCAAUUAAACACUUAAUAGAAAAAUUUCUAUCUAGAAAGCUUGUAAACUAGACGUUUCCUAGGGCGAGGCUUCUUGGCACUUUGAACCUUUGAAGACACUCUCACCAUAUAAUACGCAAUUAGUCCACCAAUUAUUCAAGAUUUUGCAAGUUACAACUCAAAGAAAAUACAAAGCAAAUUGAAUUGACAAAAAUUUAGAAAUUUUUAUUCUAUGCAAUUCUUCUUUUCUUUUUGUCAUUCCUUCUUUGUGUAAGUGUUUAAACUCACUUGUUGCUGCUCUCUUGCUCAACCUCUCAAGGAUAUUUAACUUUAAAAAUUCAAAACAGCACCUACUAAGUGAUAAAGCUCUCACAAAAAAUGUUAGCUCCAAACUUAACAAGCACCUUUGAAUGAUUUAUCCACCAAGAAAUGAGGUUAACAAAAGUUAAAGCAACAAAAAUUCAAUUUGAAAUUGGAAAACAACAAAGGGAGUUGAUGUAUGACAACUUGAAAGAGUAAUUGAAAAAAUAUUGACAAGCAAACAAAAUAAGGUACUCAACAAAUGGAUAUCACACAAAUUGAACCUAGAGAAUGACACUAGAAUUGGAUUAACAAAAAUCAAAACAAUACUACAUAAUAUUAAGGUGUCAAAAAGCGUGACUUACUUGAUUUAUGUUGAGCAAAUUAUUUCAAAUUUGAAUUUGAAUUUUUAACCACAAAUAGAUCAAGAUAUUAACUAACUUUUGGCGUUGGAAUCACCAAUUAAUUGUGAUAAAAUUUUCAAAUAUGAUGAUGCUUCACCAUUUUUUUUUCGCGCCAAAAUUGCACACUGAUUGUAUUUGAUUUAUCAUUUUUUUUUCUAUUUUGAAUUUCGCUUCACUUUUUUUUUCACUUUUUUUCUAACACUUCAAACUAUUGAGAUCCAUAAUUUCAUAAUUUUUCUCCAACGAAUUUUAAUUUCAUAAACAAAAACAGCCAGCACAGAAUAAAAAACAGAGGAAGCCUAAUUCUGGAAUUAAAAACAGUUUUAAGAAACUUCAAAAACACAAUAGAAUUAAUGUAUAAUAAGUCGUGUGGAUCUAGCACACAAAUAUGAACUCAAAUCUUAAAAUGCACCAAAGGAUCAAACAAAAAAUUAUAAAUAUGGACUCAAAAAGAAAAUCAAUGAACCAAAAUUAUGAAGAAAAGUACUACAUAAAAGUGUUGACAAUUUAGGAGAAACAUGACUUGACAAAACAUCUAUGGAUUCAAAAAUCAAAAUGACUCAAACACAACAAUAUGAACCGAUUAAAAUUGCAAGAAAGACUCAAAUCUAGCAAAAUUAAAACAGCAACACCAAAACUCAAAGGAAUCCUACACAAAAUUGAAAUUAGAAGCUCAAGAACAAUUUGAACACAUUGCACUGAUUGGAUUUAUCCAAACAGCAUCUAAAACAGUUAAAAUGCAAAAACAACAAGACAAUCAAGGAUACAAGAUGAACAACACGAAAUUAUAAAGAACAACACAAAAUUAAAAUGAGAAGAAGAAGACACAUUUAGCUCUUGAAGAACCUAGGCUCAUGAUACCACUUGAUGGAGGUGUGCCUUCAUCCGUAGCUUUUCUUUACUGGAAUUGGCGGAAGCAUUCAUGGAAGAAGACGAGCAAGGAACUCAUGAAGAAUGGUGGACUCCUUGAAGGUGCAUGCUAAGUGUGGAGAGUGAGUGGUGAGGCUAUCUCACUUGGCAAAGAUGAAGAAUGAAGAUUAAAAUGUCUAUCCUAGAGAGGUAGGAGACAAGGAGCAAAAUUGGCACAAUUUUGGCAGCAAUUUGCUCGAGAAUAAUCUUGCUAUUUCAUGACCCAAGCACCUCCUUAUAUAGGAUUGGAGGGUCGGAAUUGGAAGAGUCAAAUACAAAUGAAAUACAAGCUAAAUCAAAUGUGAAGCAUUUGGCGCCUAAUUUGAGACUUAACACAUGGAGCAUGUGAUGGAAAGCUUUUAAGCACAUGGAACAUGUGCUUUCUUCUCCAAGGCUUAGUCAUAACCGGCCUUGGUUAAUUUAGGUGUUCAAAAAACCCUAAUUUAACCAAGGUUGGUUUUUAGGUACCAAAAUUCACCUAAAAAGAAAUUACAAGUAAAAUUUCCUAUUCUACUUUAACAAAAUUAAAUCCUACUUCUACACUAGAGUUUAUGGCAUUUUAAACAUGUAGAAGAAGGUUUCUCUGCCAUCAGUAUCAGUAUUCCAAUCUUGUUGAUCCUUCUUGGUCAUGGCUCUAGUGGUAAGUCGAGGUCUUCUCUUUGUUGGACUUGCACUUGGACUUGUCCUUAGGCCUCUUCCAUCAAAAUUAAUAAUAAAAUAAAAUUUUAAUACAAAAUAUUUAGUUAUUUAUAAUAAACAAAUUAAUGGUUAUAAAUAUAAUAAUAUUAUUUACAUUUAAUAUAAAAUUAUUUUCUAAUUAUAAUUUUUAUAUAAGAAUAUUUAAAUUAUUUAUUUCUACAUAAUAGUUUAUAACUUUUACAUAUAUUCAUAAUUUUUCGUGUAAAUUAUUUUUUGUCAAGUAACUCGUAUUUUUUUUCGAAAAUAAUUAUUCAAUGUUAUUGGAAAUAACUUACAUAAUUUUAAUUAACCUAAAUCUACAUAAAAAUACAUAAUAUUUGGUUAUUCUAUUUUUUUGAAACAAUGGUAAAUUUAUAAUCUUAUAAUUUACAUCUUUCAGAAAAUCAAAAUACCCUCACAACAAUGACAUCACUCACAAACUUCAAUAGAUUUUUUUCACAAAUUCACUCUAGCAUACUCCAAUCUAAACACAACGACUUUCUUCAUACUUUUCUCUCAAAUCUUUACACAUUCACUCUCUCAAAUCCUCACACUUCCCCUCCUCAAUUUAAACACAACUUAAAAAUUAUUGUUUUAAUUAGUUAACCAAUUGGACUAGAACUCGUGAGUAACAAACAUGGGUCUCAAUAGGCUGCAAUCACCAGGUAUUUUGUAACAGGAAAAAAGAGUGAUUUUGACUAAGAUAGAAAUUAAAGGAAAUAUUUUAUUUAUUAAUUUAUAAUAUAUAUAUAUAUAUAUAUAUAUAUAUAUAUAUAUAUAUAUAUAUAUAUAUAUAUUUAUUAUAUAUAUAUAUAUAUAUAUAUAUAUAUANNNNNNNNNNNNNNNNNNNNNNNNNNNNNNNNNNNNNNNNNNNNNNNNNNNNNNNNNNNNNNNNNNNNNNNNNNNNNNNNNNNNNNNNNNNNNNNNNNNNNNNNNNNNNNNNNNNNNNNNNNNNNNNNNNNNNNNNNNNNNNNNNNNNNNNNNNNNNNNNNNNNNNNNNNNNNNNNNNNNNNNNNNNNNNNNNNNNNNNNNNNNNNNNNNNNNNNNNNNNNNNNNNNNNNNNNNNNNNNNNNNNNNNNNNNNNNNNNNNNNNNNNNNNNNNNNNNNNNNNNNNNNNNNNNNNNNNNNNNNNNNNNNNNNNNNNNNNNNNNNNNNNNNNNNNNNNNNNNNNNNNNNNNNNNNNNNNNNNNNNNNNNNNNNNNNNNNNNNNNNNNNNNNNNNNNNNNNNNNNNNNNNNNNNNNNNNNNNNNNNNNNNNNNNNNNNNNNNNNNNNNNNNNNNNNNNNNNNNNNNNNNNNNNNNNNNNNNNNNNNNNNNNNNNNNNNNNNNAAUUUUAUUAAUAUUAUUUAAAUUAAUAACAUUAUUAAUUAUUGCAAUAAUGUUAUUAAUAUUAUUAACAUUAUUAAAUAUUAUUAAUAUUAUUAAUUAUUAAUAACAUUAUUAAUUAUUACAAUAAUUUUAUUAAUAUUACUAACAUUAUUAAAUAUUAUUAAUAUUAUUAAUUAUUAAUAACAUUAUUAAUUAUUACAAUAAUCUUAUUAAUAUUACUAACAAUAUUACAAUAAUUUUAUUUUUAAGUAAUUCAUAUGAAAUGACAAAAUAUUCUAUUGUAUUAAUAAAAUGAAAUAUAUUAUAUAAGGGUAGAAUCGAAAAGGUUUGUAAACAUCAAAAAAAGGUUAUAAUAAUGGACAAUUCACUUUAUAUAUAGGUAUAAAUUAUUAUUAUUAUUAUUAUUAUUAUUAAUAUUAUUAAAUAUUAUUAAUAUUGUUAAUAUUGUUAAUAUUAUUAAUAUUAUUAAUUGUAUUAAAUAUUAUUAAUAUUAUUAAAUAUUAUUAAUAUCAUAAAAUAUUAUUAAUAUCAUAAAAUAUUAUUAAUAUCAUUAAAUAUUAUUAAUAUCAUUAAAUAUUAUUAAUAUCGUUAAAUAUUAAUAAUAUGAUGAAAUAUUAAAAAUAAUAUUAAAUAUUACUAAUAUUUUUAAAUAUUACUAAUAUUUUUAAAUAUUACUAAUAUUUUUAAAUAUUACUAAUAUUUUUAAAUAUUACUAAUAUUUUUAAAUAUUACUAAUAUUUUUAAAUAUUACUAAUAUUUUUAAAUAUUACUAAUAUUUUUAAAUAUUACUAAUAUUUUUAAAUAUUACUAAUAUUUUUAAAUAUUACUAAUAUUUUUAAAUAUUACUAAUAUUAUUAAAUAUUACUAAUAUUAUUAAAUAUUAUUAAGUAUUACUAAUAUUAUUAAAUAUUAUUAGUAUUAUUAAUAUUAUAAAUACAUUAAUGAUAUUAAUAUUAUUUAUAUUAUUAAUAUUAUAAAUAUAUUAGUGCUAUUAAUAUUUUUUUAUUAAUAUUAUUAUUACUAAUAUUAUUAAUUUUAUUCAUGUUAUUAAUAUCAUUAAUAAGAUUAAUAUUACUAAUACUAUUAAUAUUAUUAGUAACUAGCGGGAACACAGGCACUCACGUGCCUGUAUAUCCGCAUUUUUCAUUUUUACUAUUUAUAUAUUCAUAUAAUUUUAAUAAAUAUUAAAUUAUAUGAGAAGAUGUGUAAAUUAUCUAAAUGCAUCAUUGAUAAUAGUUUUAUUAAGAUUUGAUGUUAAUUUUUUAUAUUUUCAUUUUAUUGUUUUUGAAUAUUAAAUUUUGAUUUAACUUGGGUGUAAUCUUGAACUUUGUAAGGUUAUCAAGAUUAAAAUUAAGGUUUAAAAAAAUGGACCAGCAAACAAUGUCAAAACAUAAUGCAAAUGGUUGUAUGUUGGAAGUUGUAGAAUCUAUCACCAUAUCAAUUGAAUUCACAUCUUCCAUGGCAAAGAAGUGGAAAAAAAAUAAAAUAAUAAACUAAAUACAAAUUACCAAACUUCCAACUUAUGUAAUAUCUAAUAGAUCAAAGCACCAGUAGACAUAAAAACUUUGCCCGCAAAGCUGGGCUUAGGAUUCAUACAAAAAUAUAAAAUAAUUAAGAAAGCAAUAGAAACAAAAAUGUUCAAAUCCUAUAACAAUGAGACACGUCUCUGCUUCGAACGCUUUGGGAAGUGCGAGAAGGAGGAAGCAAUGGUGGUUGUUGUUGUACAGUGGUGAUUGAAGAGGGACUAAGAUGGGUGAGAGUAGGAGAAGAACAUGGAGCGUGAAGGAAGAAGGUUCAAAAUGUGUCAAAAUUUAUGAGCAUUUUUUUUUUGGAUGUAACGGGUGAAAACUACUCCUUAUAAGGAAGUGGAAGAAAGUGGGAUAACCGCUCAACUACUCCUUAUAAGGGAGUGAAUGUAACGGGUGAAAACUACUCCUUCACAAGAAAGUGGAUGUAAAUGGUGACGGUGAAAACUACUGAAGAAAGUGGUAACCGCUCAGUAAUAAUCAAAUUGUUGUCACUGCUCACAUUUCCUAAUAUUUAUUUCUCUCUCAUAAAACAAACACUCCCUCUCAUUAUGCAAUUAAUUUUCAAAAUAAAUUAUCUCUUUCAAUUCAAACGGUUGCUCCAUUUAUUUCAAAUAUUUUAUUAAAUUUAUUUCUCUCUCAUACAACAAACACUCUCUCAUUAUGCAAUUAAUUUUCAAAAUAAAUUAUCUCUUUCAAUUCAUAACCACUCCUCCACCUCUCUCUCAAUUCAUAACCGUUCCUCCACCUCUCUUUCAAUUCAUAACUGUUCCUCCACAUCUCUUUCAAUUCAAAACCGCUUUUCCACCUCUCUUUCAAUUCAAAACCGUCCCACUACGUAUACCAAAUAUUGUAGAAAAAAUAAGAAAGGGACCAUAAUACAAUAAUAAAAUUAAAUAUUAAUAUAAGGAUAAAAUGGGAAAAAAAUUAAGAGCAGUUAAGAGGGGAAUAAGAAAUGACACAAUGACCAUAAUACAAUAAUAAAAUUAAAUAUUAAUAUAAGGAUAAAACAGGAAAAAAAAUUAAGAGCAAUUAAGAGGGGAAUCCCCUUUAUAUAUAGGUAUAGAUAAUAUUAUUCAUAUUAUUUAUAUUAUUAAUAUAAUACUAAUAAUAUUAUAUAUAUUAUUUUAUUUAUUAUUAUUAAUUUUAUAAUAUUAAUGGUUCUCGUCGGUUGAUUUUUUCACCAGUUGACUUUUUGUCGGUUGACUCUGGUGAUAAGCUUUAGCUCCGGUCUGUCUUCUCUGUGCUAGACUUUAAACUAGAGGGGGGAUGAAUGUUUUAAAGAGGGUUUUCGCAAACUUUUAAGUAUAGAAUGAAAUUACUUUGAGAAAACUUGAUUAAGAAUUCAGUUUGUCAAAAACACAAAGCAAUUUAGCACAACACUAGAAAAACAUUCGGUUGUUUCGCAGAAACAAUCGGUUGUUUAUACUAGUUCACAAAUAUAAACUGAAAUUAAAGAUUUCAAGGGUUCGAGAGAUUGCACACACAGGUUUAUACUGGUUCACUCUUAAACCAAGAGCUACAUCCAGUCUUCCCAGAAACCACUGGGGAAUCCACUAAGCAAUCAACCCUAGAUUACUUACAACACCACCAAAGAAGUGACCUUGAUCCCCUCAAGACACACACUUCCUUUGGCUCAGCACAAACACCACCAAGAAUGCUGAUCUUGACAACCUCAAGAGCACACAACACUUCUUAGCUUCACACACAGAGUUUACAGAAGGUACAAAAGGAUUACACUUGUUACAGAAAAGAUCUGAAAUCAAUACAAGAUGAAAAUCCUAUAUCACACUCUCUUGAUCAAAGCAAUCUUCAACUCUUCAAAAGAAAAACCAGUGAAAAACUUCAAAACCUUAUUGUACUGGACCAGAGCACUGGGCUCGGUGCUUAGGUGAUCGGACAUCGGCACCUGUGUGGAGCAGGUUAGCUUGGUGAUCUGGUCGAGUUAAUGGGCCAGUGGAACCCAAGAAUGCGUGUGUUAAAACCCGUAUAUAUGUAAGGCCUAAUCAGCGAGAAAGUGCAUGUGGUGUGUAUUUGGGUCUAGCACAAGUAAAUAUCCCCUAAAGACGCCUAGGCCCAAGAGCGCUAGGGUUUUCAGGGGUAAGCUGCAUGCAUGAUACGUAAAGGUUAGAGCGCCUACAGUGACAGAUGGGCCCCAUGAUGCUGGUAUAUGAGUUGGUACCCUGACAGCCAUGUUGUUAAGAUUAUGCACUCCAAAGAGGAAGAUUUUGCGCGAUUGUUACACUAAGAUUGUGUGACAUUAUAACAGAAUGCCCUCCCAUCAUACCUGCUUUCACUUGAGAUAAAGUCUCGUGAGAGAAGGGUUGUUACAAUGAAGUAACCUAAAAGUAGUCUAUAAAAGGGACUCGAGAUCCCUAGUAAAGGUACACCGUUUCUAAUGAAACUACUUGCUUACUUACUCAUUGUUUCUUAGCCCAGUACUGAAUUGAUUGUCGGAGUGCAAUCAACAGGUAGGGCCCCCUCUGUUUCAAAUGGAGCCGCAUUCCAACGUCCCCGGGAAAGAGCAAAUCCAGCAGAGGCAAACAGAGUCACAACCUACUCUCAGAGUCAACCGACUACUAGGUCAACCCACAAGAACAUUUGGCACCCACCGUGGGGCCUGAUAAAACUAGGUCCCAUCCACAGUUGUGAUCAGAGCUAUCAGGCGAUAUGAGGAAUACAAGACAAGGCACCGCUGGACAGGAAGAAGGCGACAACGUUACCAUGCAAUAACUCAUGGAAACUAUCCACACUCUUCAGUAGACAGUGGAGGCAUCCAAGGCUGAUUAGGAAAGGGUUUUGGUUGAGGUUCGAGCUAAGCAGGCACUUAGGAAAGACCAAUUCAGGGUCGAGUUGGAUGCGUCGCGGACAGACAACGAAGAUUUACGCAUGGCCAAUAGGAUUUGCGGAGAGAUUUGCAAUGCUUAGGGGAACACACGGUAGGGGAGCAAAACCCGCCUAUCCCAGUCAGGGCUUGCCCCAUGCCAUUCUCCCAAGCGAUCAUGAAUGUCGUGAUACCUACCAAUUUCAUGACCCCAAAAAUCACUUUCACAGGUACUGAAGACCUGGAGGCCCACAUCACAACUUUCCACACUCAGAUGAUGAUCUCGGGAGGAACAGACGCCAUGCAUUGCAAGUUAUUUAUGGGAACGUUCGUAGGCAGAACAUUGGAUUGGUUCAUCAGUCUCCCCGAUGGACACAUCACCUCGUUUGAUCAAUUCUCUACAUUUUUCAGGGAGCAGUUCAUUGUCAACAGUGCUCCACCCCCUGUCUCUUUCGACCUCUUUGAUGUGAAGCAAUACCAGGGAGAGCCCCUUAAGGACUUCCUGAAUCGGUUUGGGGCGCUGGUUGUAAAACUACCAAGGAUGAAGCUAUGAUGGUGCAUGCCUUCAGGCGGGGAAUUUUGUCAGGGCCCUUCAGCGACUCUUUAAUAACGUGUCAACCAAAGACGUUUAGCGAGAUUCGGCACCGAGUUGUUGCUCACAUCUGCACAGAGGAAUAGGAAACAAAAAAACGUGGAAGCGUUGGACCGACAAGACCUCGGGAGAGCGGUCGUGCUCAACCCAUAAGUGAUGGAGAUCAAGAUCAAGACCAAAUGUAGGCCAAUACUCAAGGACAAGAAGAGGAAGAGGCUCAAGUGUUAGACGCUCAAAGAGUUGGUAGCCCACCUCAAAGGCUUACAAGAAGUCAAUUCAAGGCAUUAGGAAAUAAUGGAAUGUUGUUUUCUCUUUUUGUAAUAUCUUUGUGUUAGAAGGUGCUUAGAGGGAAACAUAAGACACCUCUUUUGUAAAAGCAUCUUUAGGUCUUUAGUUUAGGAAAAAAAUAGGAAGCUUGGGGGGUGUGAGCUUAGUAGAGGGGUGUAGGCGUAAUAGGGAGGUGCCAAACUAAGAAAAGAAGUCACACCUUCCUCAUGCUCUAAGUUGGCGCCACUUUUAUGUCAUUUGGGGGGUAAUUUGAGUUUAAUUAGCUUUUCAUUUCAGCACCUCUUAGGCUAUAAAUAAAGGUGUUUGCCUUUGUAAAAUUCAGAUUGGAAAUUGGAAUUAGAGAAACUCUACUCAAUUUGAGAGAGAAUUGUGAGAACUUGUCUUCUCCUUCACCUUGUCUUAUCUUGAGUGCAUUUGGUUCUCUCAAGUGGCGGCACUAGCUCACUUAUCUUGGAGCCUUCACCAUCCAAUUGGUGUGAUCAUCAAACCAAGUCCUUCAUCUCCAUAAGUUCUUCUUUCUUUCAUCUCCUAGCUCAUUUGAAUCUAAAACAUGUCUUAGUUUACUUUUCUAGCAUUUUCAUUCGGUAUUCUAGCUUGUUUCUGAAUUUGCUUCGGUUCAUCUUCUCCUUGGCUGUUCCUAUUUGAUUCUUCUUCAUUUCUUGCAUUUUGUUCGGUUCAAUUUCAGCAUUGUAGCUUUCUAUUCGGUCCUUUUUCUUUUAUACACAAUUUAAUCGGUUCAAUUGGCAAUAGAUGGAUCUUCCAUAUGAGUUUGGUGUUUGGUGCAAGUUUUGGUGAGUUCUUAAAACAUAGAACAUUGAUCCAAUUCUAUUAAAAGUGCCUAAGCUAUCUCCAACUCAAGUUGAUUCCAUAGAAUGUCAAAGAAUCAUCUCUAUUUGGCUAGUGGAAUCAUAUCAUGUGGUAUCUAGAAUUUAGGUUUGUUCUUGUUUAAUUUUGAGUUGUGUUGCACUUUAAUUCAAGAGCUCUAUAAUUCUUGUUGUUUACCUUUCUGUUUUUAGGCUUAUUUUGAGUUUUAUUGCUGUUUUCUUAAUUGUGCCUAUCAUGUGUUUGUGUAUUUUCCUUUUUGAAUCCAUACAAGUUUUGUCAUAGUCAUGUUUUUCCAAGAAUGUCAUCACUUCUUGUAGUACUUUUAUUGAAUUUUUUGUUUCUUGCUUUGGUGUAAUACAGUUUUCUGAGUUUGAUACUUGAUCCUUUGUGCAUUUUCUGUUUUAGUUUUGAGUUCAUACUUGUAUUUUAGAUCUAUACAAGUUCCUAUACAUCAUUUCCAUUAUGUCUUUGCUAGUUCUUAAUUCUGUUUUUCAUUCCUGUUAGGAUUCCUCUGUUUUUCUGAAAACGUGCUCACUGUUUCGAUUUAUUGCAAUUGAUUUACUCACUGGAAAUUUCUGAAAUUAUGGAUUUGUGUUCUUUAAAGUGUUAUAAAAGAGUAGAAAAAAGAAGUACUUAAAAAUUCCAAGUACAAAAAAAAUGAUAAAUCAAAAACAAAAAGUAACCGCCCAAACAUGCGCCCUACGAGCCGAAAAAGCAUUAGACUAGGGCAUGAGCGAAGGGAGACAUGCCUUGUCGACACAAGUUCAGAAUAAAACUCAAGGAGCUUAUCGCUAUCCCAGACGUGGCCGACAAGCUAAAGCCACCCCCAAAGAGUGACAAGAGAUUGGGGCCAAGCAGGGGCACCUGGUGCGAGUUCCACAAGGCCUUUGGGCAUGACUUGCAAAACUAUUUGGCACUUGGAUACUAAUUGGCUAAUUUGGUGAAGAAUGGAUUCCUGAAGGAAUACUUAGAGGAAGGUCAUGAAGCCUCAACGGUGGUGACCUUAGCAGGGAUCAGGGACACAAAGUACCAUUCCAUGGCGAGGUUAACACGAUCUUUGGGGGGUUUCUCAUGAGGAGGAUGCACCACCUCCCAGCGAAAGAAGUAUGUUAUAAGGGUGAUGGCAAUAGAAGCACGGGAACCUGACCAGUCACCUGAGCCCGACCUCUACUUCACGAAGGCUGAUUUACAGGAUGUGGUCCCACAUGAUAAUGACCCAGUGGUAAUUUCAGUGGUGAUAGUAGGGAGAAGGGUACACCGAGUCCUCAUCGACCAAGGGAGCUCGACAUAUGUAAUGUUUUGGUCGACCUUCAACAAAUUGGAGUUGUCGCCCGACCAACUGAGACCUUAUGACGGCUGUUUGUACGGUUUUGCUGGAGACCAGGUAAAAGUAAGUGGGCACGUGGAGCUAAGGACGACCUUCACAGACAACACCACGUCCCGCACCGUCAAUAUCAGGUACCUUGUCAUCAACUUACAACAUCCUUUUGGGAAGACCUACCCUGAAUAGGAUAUGAGCGGUGGCCUCAACGAGGCAUAUGAAGAUGAAGUUGCCUUCCCUCGAGGAAACGAUAAUUACCAUUAAGUCUGACCAAAAGGCGGGAAAUAAAUGCUAUGUGAAUAGCUUGAAGACGAACAUAGAGGUGUGCUCGAUCACCAGCCAGCCUUAGGAGGGAGAAGGGAUCACCCGUGUAGAGAUGGGUUGGGAGAGGCGACCUAAGCCUGUAGGUGAGGUGCUGGAAAGGGAGAUCGGGAGAAAGAAGUUUAAGCUUGGCAAAUCUUUAGGCCAGGAAAUACAGGACCAGAUCGCCGAGGUAAUAACACGACAUUUGGACGCCUUUGCGUGGUGUGCCUUGGACAUGCCCGACAUCGACCCUGAUUUCCUAUGCCAUCAUCUCACGAUGGAUCCAAAGGUCAAGCCUGUUUGCUAGAGGCAGAGGAAGUUCAAUGACGAAAGAUGCCUGGUCAUGAGGCAAGAGACCUAGAAGCUGCUGAGUGCGCCACAUAACGGAGAUCCAAUACCCUGAGUGGUUAGCAAACAUGGUGUUGGUCAAGAAGACCAACGAAAAGUGGAGGAUGUGCGUCGAUUUUACGGAUUUGAACAAGGCUUGUCCAAAGUAUUCAUAUCCGUUGCCCAACAUUGACACACUAGUGGAUAACGCGUCAGGUUGCAAACUUCUCAGUUUUCUGGAUGCCUUCUCAGGAUAUAACCAAAUUCGGAUGCAUCCCCAAGACGAAUGCAAGAAAACAUUCAUGACAGAGCUCUCCAGCUAUUGUUAUACGGUGAUGCCCUUUGGGCUAAAAAAUGUCGACGCGACCUAUUAGAGGCUGAUGGACAGGGUUUUCGCCCCUAUGAUAGGGCAAAACGUGCAGGCAUAUGUGGAUGAUAUGAUCAUCACCUCCCAGGAGAAGGACCAACACAUUGCCGACUUAGAGGAGCUAUUCACCACAAUAGCCAGGUAUAAAUUGAAGUUAAAACCCGAAAAGUGCGUAUUCGGGGUAGAGGCAGGGAAUUUCUUAUGAUUCCUCCUCACCGAGUGGGGAAUAAAGGCGAACCCCGAGAAAUGUGCGACGAUCAUAGCUAUGAGAAGCCUGACCUCGGUGAAGGAGGUACAACAAUUGACGGGGCGAAUGGCCGCUCUGUCCCGAUUUGUAUCUGCAGGAGGAGAUAGAGGGCAUCCCUAUCUCCUGUGUUUGAAGAGGGACAACCGAUUUGUGUGGACAAACGAGUGUGAAGAAUCGUUCCUCAAGCUGAAGAAGUACCUGUCCAGCCCGCCAGUUCUGUGCAAGCCGCUGCCAGGUACUCCCCUCCGUCUGUACUUUGCUAUUACAGAACGAGCGAUCAUAGUCCAGGAGCAGGAUUGCAUCCAAAGGCCUAUAUAUUUUGUUAGCAAAGUGCAGCAGGGGCCCGAAGUGCGCUAUCAGGCCAUUGAGAAGGCGGCUCUAGCAGUAGUAUUUGCAGCACGAAGGCUUCGCUACUAUUUCUAGAGCUUCACGGUGAUCGUGAUGAUCGACCUUCCCAUCCGUAAGGUCUUGCAGAAACCUGACGUGGCGGGACGGAUGGUGUGCUGGGCGGUCGAGCUGUCAGAGUUUGAUUUGCAGUAUGAGACGAGAGGACCUAUCAAGGGUCAAGUUUAUGUUGACUUCUUGGUAGAACUCUCCUUGGCAACCACACACCAAGACAAUGGAGAUUUCCAAUGGGUCCUUUCUGUGGACGGGUCCUCUGAGCAGUGAGGCUGGUAUCAUCCAUGAGGGACAAAACGGGCUACUAAUCAAGCAGGCCCUACGAUUUGCUUUCAACUCUAGCAACAACCAAGCUGAAUAUGAGGCCUUGGUGGCAGGAAUGUUGCUAGCCAAAGAGAUGGCUGCCCGAAGUUUGUUAGUGAAGAGUGACUCACUACUGGUAGUCGGGAAAGUUACGGGCGAGUACUAGGCCAAGGACCCUAGAUGGCCGCGUAUCUAAAGUGUGUCAUGCUCCUGAAAGAGGCGUUCACUGCUUUUGAGUUGGGCACAUUCCCAGGGAACAAAAUGCCCGAGCUGACUUACUGGCAAAGCUCGCCAGCUUAGGCAGGGGGGUCGACAAAGGAAAAUUACCCAGGAAACCUUAAAAGUCCCCAGGACCACCACAGGCGGCGUGGAAGAGGUCCAGCAGGUAAGUGCCUUCGAGGGCGGAAGGAGAGGUCACCGGUCGUUGACCCAGGAAACAUUGAGGGUACCUAAGAUAAGUGCAUAUGACUUGUCAGUGGGAGAAUCGUCGCAUGUUUGCCUGGUCGACGAAGGUGAAACCUGGAUGACACCCUAUAGGCGUUACCUGGCGAAUGGUCUACUCCCACAGGAGCCAACGGAGGCCAAAAUCGUUAAGAAGAAUGCAUACAGAUAUACCUUGGCUGAUGGAAAGUUGUUCAAGCAUGACUUCUCUCACCGUAUCCUGUCCUGUGUGAGUGGUGAGCAGUGCACACGUAUCAUGACUGAGCUCCAUGAAGGUAUCUGUGGGAGUCACAUCGGUGGACGAGCUCUCUCAUCAAAGGCUAUUCGAGCAGGAUAUUACUGACCGACCAUAAGGGAGGAUUGCACGAGGUACACACAAUGGUGCAAACAGUGCCAACAACACGCCAACUAGCAUCAUGCGCCCCCGGAGGCGUUGCGAUCGAUCCAUAGCCCAUGACCUUUCCACACAUGGGGGAUUGACAUCUUGGGUCCAUUUCCCUUAGAAGUUCGCCAAAUGAAGUACCUGGUGGUAGCCAUCGAGUACUUCACCAAGUGGAUAGAAGCUGAGCCUAUGGCACAAAUCACAACUCACAAGGUUCAACACUUUGUAUGGAAGAACAUAGUUUUCCGUUUUGGAAUCCCAAAGCAUGUAGUGUUUGACAACCACACCCAUUUUGCAAGUCAGCAGCUAGGCAAACUAUGCACAGAGCUCGACAUCAAACAGGUGUUCGCCUCGGUAUAACACGCCUAGACGAAUGGACAGGUCGAAUAUGCUAAGUGAGUCAUGCUCAGAGGCCUAAAGAGGAGACUGGAGAAAGCCAAGGGAACUUGGGCAGAUCUGGUUCCUAGAAUUGUAUGGGCCUAGCACACCAUUCCUCAAUCCACCACCAAAGAGACGCCUUUUAGCCUAGUGUAUGGGUCAAAUGCUCUGAUCCCCGUCAAGAUCCAUGACAGUUCACCUCGAUUCCAGAACUUCGUGAUUGAGGAGAAUAACGAGGAAAUGAGGGUAAACUUAGAUCUGCUCGACAAGGUCAGAGAGGAAGCACGCAUCAAGACCGAAGCCUUGAAGAGAAGGGUGGAGUAUAAGCAGAAGUCCAAGCUAAAACCUCGGCAGUUCCGGGUCGCCGACUUGGUAAUGCGAAAGGCUCACCCCUAUCAGUUGGAGAACAAGUUGUCUCCUAAGUGGAUUGGCCCAUUCCGUGUGAUAGAGGUGCUCGGUAACGGAGCGUAUAGACUCGAGAACUUGGAAGGCGAGAUCAUUCCUCGAACAUGGAAUGAGGCUAAUCUUAAAUUUUAUUUCAGUUAAUUAUGCUAUUGUAUGCAGUACGAACGUUUAAGGCGACACUCUUUUCCCCUUAUCAGGGUUUUUUAAAUAGGUCUCCCAAUAAAAGUUAUUUGAAAACUAUGCUUGCAGUAUAUCGUGCUAACAGUGAAAUAUCCCCUUGGUAAGAUUCCAAGAGUGGGAACAGUAGAGUUCAUAGCGAACCUCCCCCUAGUAAGAUUCCAAGAGUGGGAACAAUAGGGUUCGUAAGCGAACCUCCCUUUGGUAAGAUUCCAAGAAUGGGAACAAUAGGUUUCAUAAGCGAACCUCCCCCUUGGUAAGAUUCCAAGAGUGGGAACAGUAGGGUUCAUAGCGAACCUUGUUCAAGAUGGGAAGCUUUGAUGUGCAAAAUCCUCAUGAAGGCUGAAGCUGUGUGAUGUUUAAGGUUUAGGUUUUGGUUUGGGGUUUAGAAUCUUUGUAAAGAUCAGUUUUGAAUCUCAGACAAAGCUCAUUUCAACCAGUUUUAAAGAUUAAAGUGUUUUUCCAUGCAAAGGGAAAAACAACCGAUUAAAGUUUCGAAAUAAUCGGUUGUGUUUAACUUAGCUGGCAAAUAAGGUUUUGAAACUGUUUUAUAACUGACAAGAGCAUUCAACCGGUUAAAUCGUGGUUUUAACCGAUUAAAUGUAUGUCCUUGCAACAGCUUUUUGAAAAUCUAUUUUAAUUGAUUUGGUUGUUUUGAUUUGCUUCAACGUUAGCAUUUCAAGUAUUAUAAAUAUGUUUUUGAUUCAAACGUUUAAAGAUUGAUGAAAUAAAAACUUUAGAUACUCUGAGUUGAGAUUGAUUUGAAAGAUUACAAAACUGCUUGUGAAAAGGUUUUUCAUCAAGUUUUAACAAGAUUGCUUUGUGCUUUGUUGUGGUUCAAAGAACUGAUCAUUAGGGUGCUAGUGUAUUGUGUUGUACCAGGUGUUUUCUAAUCCUGUUCAAGUUCUUGUAAUUGUUCAUAUAACAUUCUGUAUAACUGUGUGAAAUCCUGUAAAGUUAGUGUAAUUCUGGCUUGAGGUGUGUGUUGUGUGUAAGGAGGGUGAGUAGGCUUUGUGGGAUUCAAAGUCACCUCUUUGUGUGUGGUGUUUGUGUAAUCUGUGAUCGGUUGCAUAGUGAAAACUCAGUGAUUUGACUGAGGACUGGAUGUAGCUCUAUGAUAGAGUGAACCAGUAUAAUCUCUGUGUGUAAUUCUCUCUAUCCCUUCUCUCUAUAUUUGUUUGUAUUUUUCCGCUGUCAUAAACAACCGGUUAAAUCACUAUUUUAACCGAUUAAAAUUCUGCUUCUGUUUCUGUUUGGUAAUUUGAUUAGCUUUCUGAAUUGCUUUUCUGGGUUGAUUGAAAAAGUUUUAUUCUAAGCCAAGUAUUUGUAAAAAUAGUUUGAAAACAAUUCAUCCCCUCUUGUUUUAGCCAUCAAAUCUAACAAUUGGCAUCAAGAGCAAGGUUCUUGAAAGUUAUUCAAGUUUUUUGAUUUCUGGUUUUUGAAAAUCUUGAUGGCUGAUAAAUUUUUUUUGGGGAAGGUGCCUCUUUGAACAAACAACCUUUGUUCUAUGGUCAAAACUAUCCUAUUUGGUGCAUAAGAAUGAAAUUCUUUAUUCAAUCCUUAAAUAAGAAUAUUUGGAAUGUUAUUUCAAAUAAUACCUAUGUGCAUAUGCCUGAAAUUAAUGAAUCUUGUAAAUAACAUCUUGACUGUAUGGCACAACAUAUUAUUGUGUCUGCUCUAGACUCUGAUGUACUGCUCAAGAUUUUAGAAUGCACUACAGCUAAAGGAAUGUUGGACAAACUUGAGGAAUUGCACAAGAAUCCAAGGAGUGACUUGGUAGAUAAAGAAGAGUCAUCUGCUGGCUCAAUCUCUUCUAAAAAUAAAGUGGAAGUCUGCUUAAUGACCAAGGGAGAAUCAAAAUCAAGUCAAGUAAGUACAUCCUAUUCUAAUAAGUGUGAAAGUUAUUUUCAAUUUCUUGAUGCUUUCCAAGAAAUUCAUGAGGAAGCUAAGAGAUUAACUUUUUCAAAUAACCGAUUGAAAUGUGAAAACAACAAGUUGAAAAUGAAAAUCACAGUUUUGGAAAAAGACUUGAAUCAAUCAAAAACUGAUUUAGAAAAUUCUGAUUUGAUGCAUGAAAAAUCCUUUUGCAAAUGUGAUUCAAAUUUUUGCAAAACCUGUGAGUCUCUUCAAGAGAAAGUCUUAUAUCUUGUGAAAACAAUUGAUGUUAUUUCGAAAGGAAAAUCAAAUUUUGAAAAUGUGUUGGCAUCCCAAACAUGUGUUUUUGAAAAAUUUGGCUUGGGUUUUAACCCUCAAAGCAAACAAAGUGGGUGCACAAAACCUUUUUCAACCUUUACUAAAAAACAAUCGGUUAAAGCAUCGAAACAACCGGUUGUUUGUUGUUUCUAUUGCAUGAAAAAGGGACACUCUGUUAGGUUCUGCAGAAUCAGAAAGUUCUCUGUACCUAAGGGUAUUCUGAAAUGGGUUCCUAAAGAGCCUAAUGAUUCUUGGAAACAUAUUAACAUCUAUGGACCCAAAUUCACAAGGGGACCAGAUUUAGCAACUUGAUUUUGUUUCUUUUGUAGAGUUGUUUGGAGAGAAAACAACACCUAUGGUACCUAGAUAGUGGCUGUUCAAAACAUAUGACAGGUGAUGCAUCUAGGUUCAUCAGCAUUUCUCUCAAACCAGAUGGUGAUGUAAGCUACGGUGACAAUAACAAGGGAAGAAUUCUUGGCAAAGGUACAAUCAGUAAUGAAAGUAGUUUGCUUAUUCAUGAUGUGCUCUAUGUUGAAGGAUUGAAGCACAACUUGCUUAGCAUCAGUCAACUUUGUGAUAGAGGUUACCAAGUGACCUUUAGGACCAACUAAUGUGAAAUUCGCUUACCUAAUUCAAAGGAUGUUCUUCUCAUUGGUAAAAGAUCUAGCAACAUUUAUCUACUUGAUAUAUCUAGUCAUGCUUCAUUAGAUUGUCUUCUAUCAAAGCAUGAAGAAUCAUGGUUGUGGCAUAGAAGGUUUGCUCAUAUUCAUAUGAAUCAUCUAAAUAAGCUUGUGUCAAAUGAACUUGUUUAUGGCUUACCCAAACUCAAAUUUGAAAAAGAACAUGUGUGUGAAGCAUGUCAAAGGGGGAAACAAACUAGAAAAUCUUUUUCUUUGAAAAACUAUUUCAACUUCAAAACCCCUUGAACUUUUGCACACGGAUCUUUUCGGUCCUUCUAGGACUAUGAGUCUUGGAGGAAAUCUAUAUGGUCUUGUUGUUGUAGAUGACUAUUCCAGGUACACUUGGACACUCUUUCUACAUACAAAGAAGGAUGCAUAUUCAUAAUUUAAGAAGCUUGCAAGGAAACUUCAGAAGACAUGUUGCAGUAACAUAGGAGCAAUAAGAAGUGAUCAUGGAGGGGAGUUUCAAAAUGAAAAGUUCAUUAGCUUCUGCAACAAAUUGGGGAUUUCUUCAUAACUUCUCUGCACAAAGAACACCCCAACAGAAUGGUGUGGUGGAGAGGAAAAACAGGUUUCUAGAGGAGCUUGCAAGGACAAUUCUAAAUGAUUUUGGUCUACCAAAAUGCUUUUGGGCUGAUGCUGUGAGCACUGCAUGCUACUUGAUGAAUCAUGUGCUGAUUAGGCCUAUACUGAAGAAAACACCUUAUGAGUUGCUGAAUGGGAGAAAGCCAAAUGUGAGCCACCUAAAAGUCUUUGAUUGUAAGUGUUAUGUCCUUAACAAUGGCAAAGAAAUUUUAGGUAAGUUUGAUGCUAAAUCAGAUAAAGGUAUCUUUCUGGGUUACUCUCUUAAUAGCCAUGCUUAUAGAGUCUUCAAUAAAAAGCUUAUGACUGUUGAAGAAUCCAUUCAGGUUAUUUUUUAUGAGACUAACAAUUGUGACAAGCUCCAACUAAGAUCAAUACAGAGGAGGAUGAUCAAAACAUCUUUUUAAAGAAUCUUGACAGCAACACUGAAUUUCAACCGAUUGAAUCCUCGAUUCAACCGAUUGAAAAUCUGCAGCAGGAAGAUCUGCCAAAAGAUUGGAAGGUUCCUAAGGAUCUGUCCAUUGACGACAUCAUAAAUCAAAUCCACAGAGGAGUUUCAACCAGAAGGCAUGUGGCAAAGUUAUGCAAUCACUCUGCAUUUGUUUCAAAGAUUGAACCUCAAUCAGUACGUGAAGUUCUGAAGGAUGAAUUCUGGACAGCAGCUAUGCAAGAAGAGUUAAAUCAGUUUGUAAGGAAUGAAGUCUGGACUCUUGUUCCGAGAACCAAUUAAAUGAAUGUGAUAGGUACCAAGUGGGUUUUCAGAAACAAAUCUGAUGACUCGGGCAUCAUUACAAGAAACAAAGCGAGACUAGUGGCCAAAGGAUACAAUCAAGCUGAAGGCAUCGAUUAUGAUGAAACCUUCACACCUGUUGCAAGAUUGGAAGUAGUAAGAUUGUUAUUAGCUUUUGCUUGUAUGAGUGGUUUUAAAUUGUUUCAGAUGGAUGUGAAGAGUGCAUUUCUCAAUGGGAUCGUGAAUAAGGAGAUAUAUGUCUCACAACCACCUGGCUUUGAAGAUCACAAACAUCCAGAGUGUGUAUACAAGCUCAAGAAGGAAUUGUGUGGCCUCAAACAAGUUCCACGUCAAUGGUAUGAAGGGAUAAGUCUUUUUCUUUUAUCUCAUGAGUAUGAAAGAGGUAAAGUAGAUAAGACUUUGUUUAUUAAGAAGGCUGGAACUGAUAUUAUUUUGGUACAAAUAUACGUUGAUGAUAUUGUAUUUGGCUCGUCUAAUGUGAAACUUUGUGAGGACUUUGUCUAAGCUAUGCAGGGGGAGUUCGAGAUGUCAAUGAUGGGAGAACUCUCCUUCUUUCUCUUUCUACAAGUUAAGCAGUCCAAAGAAGGAAUCUUGAUAUGCCAAUCAAAGUAUUGCAAAGAAAUCCUUAAGAAGUUCGAGAUGGAAGCUUGCAAAGUAGCAGCAACUCCAAUGUCAACUAACUGCUACUUAGAAGUUGAUGAAGCUGGACGAGAGGUUAAUCAAACCAUGUAUAGGGGUUUAAUAGGUUCACUUCUUUAUCUAACUACAAGCAGACCAAACAUUAUGUUUGUUGUGUGUCUAUGUGCUAGAUUUCAGUCUUGCCCCAAGGAAUCACAUAUCAAGGCUGCAAAGAGGAUCCUGAAAUAUCUUAAAGGCACAAUAUUCAUGGGCUUAUGGUAUCCCUCUCUUUCUCCUAUACAUUUAGUAGGUUAUUCUGAUUCGGAUUUUCCAGGUUGCAAAUUAGUUAGGAAGAGUACAAGUGGAACAUGCUACUUGCUUGAUUCAAGCCUCAUUUCAUGGCAUAGUAAGAAACAAGCGUGUGUAGCCUUAUCCAUUGCUGAAGUUGAAUAUAUAGCAGCUGGUAACUGUUGUGUGCAGAUUCUAUGGAUCAAAUAACAACUUGAGGAUUUUGGAGUAAAGAUGAGUAAAGUUCCUCUUCUAUGUGACAAUACAAGUGCCAUUAACUUGACAAAGAAUCAUAUUCAACACUCGAGGACCAAACACAUUGAAAUAAGACACCAUUUCAUUCAUGAUCAUAUAGCCAAUGGAGACUGUGAGAUCAAGUUCGUUUCCACAGAAAGACAACUGGCUGAUAUCUUCACCAAGCCUUUAUCCAAGGAUAAGUUCUACUAUUUACGAAAUGAAUUGGGAAUUCUAGAUAUGCAUGCUUUAUCCUAGUUAUAUUCUAUUUUGUUUUGUCUAUUUGAUGAGACAAAUAGGGGGAGAAGAGUUUAGAAGGGUUGUUGGAAGCUGUAAUGUUCUGCUGUUUUAUUCUGGUUUGUUUACAACUUCAACCGGUUAUCUCUGUAUUAUAACCGAUUGUUCUUAUAUGCAUCUACUUAUUUUAAAAUCUGAUAUAUAGUGCAUAUCUGUUUGGACUAGUCUAUUCCGUGUUUGUUCAGUGUUUGCAGGUUUUAACAGAUUCUAAACAAAGAACAUUCCUAAAAGCAUCUCAGGGAUUUGUCUCCAUCAAAUAAAGGAGAUUGUUGAAGAUGGGAAGCUUUGAUGUGCCAAAUCCCCAUGAAGCCUGAAGCUGUGUGAUGUUUUAGGUUUAGGUUUUGGUUUGGGGCUUAGAAUCUUUGUAAAGAUCAGUUUUGAAUCUCAGACAAAGCUCAUUUCAACCAGUUUUAAAGAUUAAAGUGUUUUUCCAUGCAAAGGGAAAAACAACCGAUUAAAGUUUCGAAAUAUUCGGCUAUUUGUAACUUAGCUGGUAAAGAAGGUUUUGAAAUUGUUUUAUAACAGAUAAGAGCAUUCAACCGGUUAAAUCGUGGUUUUAACCGAUUAAAUAUAUGUCCUUGUAACAACUUUUUGAAAAUCUGUUUUAACUGAUUUGGUUGUUUAGAUUUGCUUCAACGUUAGCAUUUCAAGUAUUAUAAAUAUGUUUUUGAUUCAAACAUGUAAAGAUUGAUGAAACAUAAACUUUUGAUACUCUGAGUUGAGAUUGAUUUGAGAGAUUACAAAACUGCUUGUGAAAAGGUUUUUUUAUCAAGUUUUAGCAAGAUUGCUUUGUGCUUUGUUGUGGUUCAAAGAACUGAUCAAUAGGGUGUUGGUGUAUUGUGUUUUACCAGGUGUUUUCUAAUCUUGUUCAAGUUCUUGUAAUUGUUCACAUAACAUUCUGUAUAACUAUGUGAAAUCAUGUAAAGUAGGUGUAAUUCAGGCUUGAGGUGUGUGUUGUGUGCAAGGAGGGUGAGUAGGCUUUGUGGGAUUCAAAGUCACCUCUUUGUGUGUGGUGUUUGUGUAAUCUGUGAUUGGUUGCAUAGUGAAAACUCAGUGGUUUGACUGAGGACUGGAUGUAGCUCUGUGAUAGAGUGAACCAGUAUAAUCUCUGUGUGUAAAUCUCUCUAUCCCUUCUCUCUAUAUCUGUUUAUAUUUUUCCGCUGUCAUAAACAACCGGUUAAAUCACUAUUUUAACCGAUUAAAAUUUUGCUUUUGUUUUUGUUUGGUAAUUUGAUUAGCUUUCUGAAUUGCUUUUCUGGGUUGAUUGAAAAAGUUUUAUUCUAAGCCAAGUAUUUGUGAAAAUAGUUUGAAAACAAUUCACCCCCCCCUCUUGUUGUAGCCAUAAAAUCUAACAAACCUCCCCUUGGUAAGAUGCCAAGAGUGGGAGCGAAGUCUUUCCUUGGUAAGAUUCCAAGAGUAGCAGCGAAUAUCCCCUUGGUAAGAUUCCAAGAGUGGGAACAUUAAGUGUCAUAGCAAACCUCAGUGAAGUCUCCCCUUGGUAAGAUUCCAAGAGUGGGAGCGAAGUCUCCCCUUGCUAAGAUUCAAAGAGUGGGAGCGAGAUCUCCCUUUGGGGGAGUAGUAAGGCUCAUAGCAAUUCAGGCAAUACCUCUUGCUCAGAAAGCUCAGGUUGCCACUUGCACGAACCACAGUAAAACUUCUCUUUAGGGAGUACGUACAGAUAAAGCAAAGCAAUUCGUGCAGGAGGACCUGUUGACCAGCGAGGCUCUCUGAACUCAGGUACCCCAGAGCAUAAGUGUACCAUUGAUUAAUCAGGAGGACCAUGCUACUUACGUAUGGUCGAUCAUUGGUGUUCGAUUAGUUAUUAAACUGAUGAAAGUUGUGUCCAUUCAAGGCAUACACUAUUAUUAAACUAGCCGAAGUCAGGAAGGGAAACAUGCAUAUAUAUAUGUAUGUACACAAGAAAGGUAAGUUGUUCGUUAGAUUACAAAAGGAAGGCAAUAGCAGGGGAGUCCCCUGCGGCUAUUCCUUAUCUACUAGUUGCCCAUCUACGACAACUUUACCUAAUCCUAUCUGGGAGAGAUCCAGCUCAGGGUGCACGCAGGUGACUUAAGCCAUGGCAUCUUCAAAGCCUGUCGUGUAGGAGUAAGCGACAUCGCUCGUCAGCUCGUCCUUGGUCUUUUGUAGGAGCUCAUCCUUCUGUGCCAACUCCUCUUUCUGCCUGGCCACCUCCUCGUCCCUCCCAGCCAACUCUCCCUUCAGCUUCUCCACCUCAGUGCGGGGAUUGUUGUUUCUUGCGUACAACCCCAUGGCCUCUUGGGACUUCCUGAAAAGGAGGGCCUUGGUCUCUUGGUGCACUUUCCAAAGCUCUUCCACCUCCAACGUAAGUCAGGUGACUUGUCGUUUGAGCCCUACAACUUGGAGGGCUUCUUCUUUGGCCAGCUCCUUUGCUUUCCACAGUUUGGAGAGGAGAAAGCAAUUUGCCACUAGGGUUUCCCCCAGUUUCCUUGUGGCGUGCUCCAUCAAUGGACCCUCCUCCAGGCUCUCCAAUCUUCCCUUAAUUUUGGAGCAGAGCAUCAUUUUGUGAAGGAAGGAGACUGGGUCCCAGUGAUCUCACUCUGAAGCACUUUUUCCUCUACCUCAUGCACUGCAAUGUCGCGAGGAGGGGAAAGGCUGGGUGGAAAAUCCCGGUAGGAAGGAGCUCGGCCGCCUGAGGUGGAGUGGACAAAACCUACAGCAGCAUCUGUUCGCUUCCUCUUGAAGACGAGUCCAGAACAAGUUUCAUCGUCCUUAGAAGGGGUGACUUCAGCCACUGCCUUCAAUUUUUGACCCUUGGCAGAAGGGACUUGGGUGGUCUUCUUUUGUUUAGCCAGAGCGGCUAAGUUCUUUCUCUUUUGAGUGUCCAACAUGCUAUAUGCAUGAGAAUGAAAACAAUGAACAGUUCAGAAAACACACACAUGCAAGAUAUGGCUAGCAGGAGUAAAGGGAAGGAGGAUACCAAUGUAUUCCUUAAGGCUUGUAGGGCUAUACUCGUUCUUUAUCAAUUCGGCAUUGCUAAACACUGCCUUGAGGUUGAAGAGGAAGAGACACACCUCUCGUUCUCGCCGGGGUAGGUCUUCAAGGUAUCUGGGUUUUGGAAUUCGGGUUCCUUAGUCCAGUAUAGAGGAAACCCGUCCAGAAGGCUUGGAUCGCUAUCAUUGCAGCGGAUUUUGAAAAACUUACCCUUGAAGCCUUUGUAUGAUUGCAUGAAGAGGGUCAACAAAACUCUCCCAACAACCCCGUUAAAGCUCACCCACAUCUUCCGACCUGAUUUUUUGGCUUCGAAGAAGUAAAGGAAGACGUCCACUGAUAGCAGAUGGCCAAAGUGGUGGCACAAGAUGGAAAAUCCCCGAACAAACGCCCAUCUAUUUUAGUGUAGCUGGGUAGGGGCGGUGUUGAUCUCGGUGAGAAGGGCUCUUUCGAAACUAUGAAAGGGAAGGCGUAGAAGGAGUUUUUUGAAAACAGUAGAGUAGAUGAAGUAGAAUGGGCCAUCUAGGUCCGAUGACUCAUCACAGCAAACAGGUUCAUCUUCCAUACAAGGCAUAACCUUAACGAACUUGUCGUGCUCUUUGCCAAAAAGACAGUUCUUUUUAGGGUGCUCACUCUUCCUAUACAACAUUAUCCUCGCAUGGGGUGGUGAAUUCCGAGGUUUCCUAUAAAAGGUUACUAGAAGCCCAGGGGUAUAGGGUUUCGUAAUCCAUCUUACGAGGAAUCUAAAACAAAGAAAGAAAACAAAUGCAGUACUCAGAGGAGGAAGCGCAUGCGUUUUGAAGAAAGAAGUAAGGAAACAGAAAACAAAGGUAUUUACGGUCAUAGAUACGAGAAAUAUAAACAGUCCCAGCGCAGUUAUGAGCAGCUUAAAGGCAUUGAAAUGGCAGAAUGAAAGCAGUCAUAAGAUAAAAAACGCACCUUGAGAUGAUUGAGGAAAGGAGGCGAGGAGGCUUGUUUGGAGAGGUGAAAGCAGAGUGGUCAAAGAAAAGUGUUCAAAGAGAAGCACGAAGAUGGAAUGAAACAGUGAAGGGAGCGCAAGAAUUGAAGGGUUAACGUAUAAGGGAAGCGCAAGCGGCAACAUUUUCCAACCGUUGAUGAUGGCCACGUGUGCGCUUGUGAGAUAGUAUGGUGAGACGUCACCUCAAAACAAUGUGUGGGUCGCGUCAUUCAAAAGACACGUAAGUCGCCUUAGGCGAGAAGUUAGCCUUUUCACUGGAACAAGUUCCAGCUCGAGCCUGGGGGGCUUGUGUACUGGACCAGAGCGCCAGGCUCGGUGCUCAGGUGAUCGGACAUCGACACCUGUGUGGAACAAGUUAGCUCGGUGGUCUGGUCGAGUUAAUGGGUCACAUAAGUGGGACCUAAGAAUGCGUGUGUUGAAAUCCGUGUAUAUGUAAGGCCUAAUCAGCGAGAAAGUGCAUGUGGUGUGUAUAGUACAUUUGGGUCUACCACAAGUAAAUAUCACCUAAAGACGCCUAGGGUUUUCAGGGGUAAGCUGCAUGCAUGAUACGUAAAGGUUAGAGCGCCUACAGUGACAGAUGGGCCGCAUGAUGCUGGUACAUGAGUUGGUACCCUGGCGGCCAUGCUAUUAAGAUUAUGCACUCCAAGGAGGAAGAUUCUACGCGGUUGUUACACUAAGAUUGUGUGACAUCGUAACAGAAUGUCCUCCCAUCAGACCUACUUUCACUCAAGAUAAGGUUCUCGUGAGAGAAUGGUUGUUAUAAUGAAGUAACCUAAAAGUAGUCUAUAAAAGGGACUCGAGAUCCCUGGUAAAGGUACAUCGUUUCUAAGACUGAAACUACUUGCUUACUUACUCAUUGUUUCUUAGCCCAGUACUGACUAUAUCAUCAGAGUGUAAUCAACAUGUAAGGCCCCCUCUGUUUCAAAUGGAGCCGCGUUAUAACGUCCCAGGGAAAGAGAAAAUCCAGCAGAGGCAGACGGAGUCACAACCUGUUCCCAGAGUCAACAAGAACACUUAAAUUAGCGUAUCAAAAUAUUAUUUCAAUUAUUCUCCAACGGGAUUACUAGUAUAACUGGGCCAAACUCAUGACCCACCUUAUAGGCCCAAUAACCAAGCUGACCUACCCACAAUGUGCACCGAGCUCCGAUCACUGAGCACCGAGUACUCUGUCCAAUACAUAAGACCCCAAGCUCGAGUUGAGCUUAGCUGAGAGAAGUGGCUUUUCGAGUGCUCUGGUAGCUUACGUGGCAGUUCCUCAUUGGGUAGGUGUGGCGUGGCGCAUGAAGCGUUUCUGAGGUGACGUCUCGCCACACUCAAUCUUGAACGUACAUGUGACCCUUAUCAACGGCGGGAAAGCGUUGCCACUUGACAUUCCCAUAGACGUAUAAGCCAACGUUCAAAAACUCACUACCACUCACUGUUUCAUUUCUUUAACUCUUGCAAAACCCUCGCGCUCUUCGAACUUCCUCUGCACCCUCCUUCGAGCACCCAGAAACCUUUAUUGUCUUUGACUUACUUACUUUGCCUAGCCUGAAUAUGUGUGUUUGUAUUCUGCUUGUGUUUGUGUUUUUUUGAUAUACUUCUACAAUGGAUUACAAAGCUUUGUACCCCUAGGCACCUUCAAACCUCUUAUAGGAGACCUUCAUGUAUACCUCCCGUGAGCUUAUAAUGGCCCUUAGAAAGGGUGAAUGCAAGUUUAGCAAAGAGAAUGAUAGAUCUUUUAGGAUAAUCCCAUGUAGGGAGGAUGAACCCGUCUACUGUGAUGAGUCGUCGGAUCCUAAGGGUCCAUUCAGUUAUUUUUAUACCACCGUGUUUAAAAGGAUUCUUCUUCGUCUAUCCCCUGCCUAGCUACACCCAAACAACUAGGCAUUUGUUCGGGGCUACAUUAUCCUCUGCACACAAUUUGGCCUUUUUCCCAUCUGUUGAAGUCUUUUUGUAUUUGUUUGAGGCCAAACACCUAGGCUGUCAGCUUUGGGUAAUGAGGUGUCUGGAAGGGCACUAUUGUCACUCUUCCAACAGUCUUAUAAGGGCUUUAAAGGUAAAUUUUUGAAGAUAUGCUGCAACAAAAGGGAUCAAACCUUUCUGGAUGGGUUUUUAUUGUAUUGGACUGAAAAAUCGCGCUUCCAAGGUGCUCGGCGCCUGGAAGAUCUGCCUCAGCGCGACUAGGAGGCCUGCCAAUUCUUGUUGAGCUUAAAGGUGGUCUUCGAUACUUCCUUUCUCAUAAGCAGAGAGUUCACCCUCGGGGCUCUAAAGUCUUAUAUUGGUACUCUUCAUUCCCUACUCUUGAUAGGGCUAACUUUGCUAUUGUUGCUAACUACUUCUUGUCCUCUUUCGUAGAUAGUAUGUUGGCUAGGAUUGACAAGAAAGAGUAGGCGAACACGACCAAGAGGAUGAGGGCGGCUGCUCAAGUGCCUCAGGAUCUUAAGCUCAAAGCUCCAACCACUGUCGUUCCAGCCUCUACUGAAGAUGAUGAGGAAACGAAUUAUGGGUUGGUCUUCAAAAGUAAGAGGAAAGACAUAGCCGCCCCUAUCGAGCAUUCCCACUCAAAUGGGUGGGCUCCUUCCUACCGCGCUCCCUCAGCAAGUCCAACCCUGCCAUGCGACAUGAUGGUGGUGCAAGAGGAAGAGGGAAUGAGCUCCAGGGGAAAGGGUUUAUGGGACCUUGACUUGGACGUCCCCUCCUUCCUUGAGAAGACCCUUCUACCCAACGAGGAGAAGGAGAAACUCAUAACCCUCGAGGAAGAUCGCUUGGUGCACGAAACCAUGAGGCAACUGGGGCAAGCCCUUGCUGCAAGUUUCUUUCUCGUCACUAAGUUAAAAGAUUGGAGGGUCGGCGGGUCAAAAGGCUCAAGAGAUUGUUGAGCUCCAUAAAGGAAUGGAGAAUCUUCAAGCCAAGCUUCGGCAAUCCAAACUCCUACGCCAAGAAAUGGAGAGUCUUCAAGCAGAGCUUCAGCAAUCCAAACUGCUACAGAAGGAAACUGAAGCCCUAUUGACUGAGAAGGCUAAGGAGGCCUCGAGCUUGACUAAGGAAAAGGAGAAAGUCUUGGCAGAGGUUGAAAAGAUCAAGGAAGAACUAGCAUUAAAAGAUGAGGGCAUUGCCAAAGAGAAAGAAGCCUUCAAGAACGAUGCCCCUCAAUCCUACCUUGUAGGGUUUGACGAGGCUGUCGAGCAAGCCUCGGGCCUUCAUCCCGAAAUCAAUUUCUCCCAACUUGGCCUGGGUAAGACCGUGAUCAACAGGCAGCUUGUGGAGGAGUAGCCUAGUCUCCAUCUUUCAUGUAACUCAUAAUGCUUUGAACACUUUGAACAAUAUUGCACAUUUUCUUUUAUAAGCACUUUUUAUCCAUGCAUGUUAACAACAACUUUAUUUACUAAUCUAGCUAUUUAACUUAGUAAAUUUCGACUAGCGUAGCUAACGUAUACUUCAUUAUUUAACUUAGUGAAACAUGAUUAGCAUAAGUUUAAUAUCUAUUGAUAACAUACCAAUCAAAUACUUAUGCCAACCCUCCGAGCUAAAAUGACAACAGACUCAAUGUAUAAACCAAGUAUGAAAAAUCACGGUGCUCUUAAAGAACUAACCUUUUUAUGAACAUUUUUACCCCCUAAGCAGGAGUCAUAUACUUUGACCUUGCUAGCCAUGGCUUCACAUACUCGAAGAGCUGCACCUUUCUAAGCUUGGUCUUCUCAACCUGCGCUAAGAAUGAUUCAUCUAUCUUCUUGAAACAUCUAACCCAGGUGGUCGCUUACACACCAAGUCAACUCCAUUUUAGCCCAAACAAUCACCUUCACCACACAUUACUUAAUCACUCCACAAAGUGCUCGAAUUCAGGUGAUCGUCCUCUCGACAGACUACCCUGACUUCUUAGAUAAUUUAGUCUCAAUACUCAUCUGCAGAGCGCUCGAACUCGGGUGGUCAUACCGACGCCGAGGUAGGUCAUAUUACCUGCCUAUAGAUGACCAAUUUUUACAUAGAGCGCUUGCUCAGGUCAUCUCACCGAGAGAGGUUGAUAUGAAUCCACUAGCAAAGAAGAGAUGAUUCUUUGACAUUCUAUGGACUCAACUUGAGUUGGAGAUAGCUUAGGCACUUAUAAUAGAAUUGGAUCAAGGUUCUAUGUUUCAAGAACUCACCAAGACUUGCACCAAACACCAAACUCAUAUGGAGGAGCCAUCUAUUGUCAAUUGAACCGAACAAAUUGUGUAAAAAGGCAAAGACACCGAUUAAAACUCUUAAGAAAGCCAAUGAACCGAACAGAAUUAUGAAAAGAAGCUACUGAACUGGAUUAAAACAAAAUCAAAUGAAAACAACCGAACAAAAGUGCAAGGAAAGGAAGAUGAACCGAACAAAAGAAACUAAGACAUGUUUAAGCUUCAUAUAAAAUGGAGAUGAAAGAAAGAAGAACUUAUGGAGAUNNNNNNNNNNNNNNNNNNNNNNNNNNNNNNNNNNNNNNNNNNNNNNNNNNNNNNNNNNNNNNNNNNNNNNNNNNNNNNNNNNNNNNNNNNNNNNNNNNNNGGGUGGAUGUCCUCUUCCUUCAUUAAUAAAAGCCUCCUUUAUUUGAUUCUCAUCAUACUCCUCGAGUUGGAGAGAAUUCGUCCAUGAAUUAUGAAUCCCUGCAUAUAACAAAGUCAGUUUAUUUUUACAAUUAAAAGUGGAAGAAAAAGGUAAACAUGACUUAGCAUUUGUAAACAAUGGGAUUUCAGAAAAGGAGGUUCUAGAAAUCGACCAAGUUGGAAAAAUUUGUUUGGGAAUGAUGUUAUGUUUUGGAAAAAUACCUCUUAAAUGGUGACAACCAUUAGGAGGUAUGAACAAAUCAUCCCUAACAUUUUUUAACCAAGAUGGUGGUGAAGUAAGAACCUUUGGUAAUGAAAAAGAUAAGGAAGGAAAACACCUUGGAUGUGGAAGGAUAAGACCCAUGUCAAUUUGGCCUUCUCUGUCUUUUUCAUUUUUACUUGUGGUAGGUGGGUGAAUUAAGUCUUGUUUUACUUUGUUUAUCUUUAAGAUUUGCUUUUGUGGACAAUGAAGAGCUAUGUGCCCAAAACCUAAACAUUUAAAACAUUUGAUAUUUGAUGUUUUGGUAGGUGACUUAGGAGUAGAAAGAUUUGUAGUAGAAACAUUUUUUGGAAACAUGGUUUGUUUGGAAAAAUUGGAAGGAGAAAUAUAAGUAGAAAUUUUGUUUGCAUCCUUCCUAUAAGAGUUGUAGAAAUCAUCAUCAUGAGUAUUUUUGAAAGUUUUUUCCAAAAGAUAUGAUUCCACCUUGAUGGCUUUGCGAAACACUCUCUUUAAAGAAGAAUAUUCUUUUAAUUCUACAAAGUCUCUAAUAUCUCUUCUCAAACCACGUACAAACCAUUUAAUCUUUGACUCUUCAUUAGCAUGCAUAUUCAUUUUAGUCAAAGUUGUUUCAAAAUCUUUAAAGUAUUCAUCUACCAUCCUAUGUCCUUGAGGAAGCCUUUGGAACUUCAACAAGUGUUCCUUCCUAGAAGGAGGAACAAACCUCGCGCGCAUACGCUCUUUCAAAGCAUUCCAAGAAACCACGGGAGGUUUCUUGCGAUAUAUAAUGUCCAUUACAAUUUUAUGCCACCAUUCUUUGGCAUAGCCCAAAAAGGAUAAAGAAACUAACCUAAGUUUAUCGUCAUCUUGGACCUUAUACACAUGAAAAUAAUGGUCAACCUUAGUCUCCCAUUCUAAAUACACAUUAGGAUCACUAUCACCAUUAAAACUAGGGACUUGUCCACAAGAAAUGUUGAACACUUGGUGAUAUCUUUGGUCACGUGAUGUGAUUCCACUAGCCAUAUAGAGAAAGGUUCUUGACCUUCUUAGGAAUCACCUUGAGUUGGACAUUAUAGAGGCACUUUUCUUAGAGUUGGAUCAUUGUUCUAAGACAAGAACUCACCAAAAACUAGUACCAAAUCCCAAACUCAUUUGGAUGAACCAAUUAUAGUCAAAUUGAACCGAAUAAGGUGGAAGAAAAAGCAAUUGCACCGAACAUAUUACUUAUAGAAUGAAUUGCACCGAACAAAUGAGCUAGAAAAACAAAGGAACAAGAUGAAUGGGCUGAAAUAUAAAACUGCCGAACCAAAACUCAUAAAAAACAGCAUGAACACCAAACCAAAACUCAAGAACACAAGCUAACAAAAACAAUAGAAAGAGGAGGAAGGAAGGAGAAGAGAGUGCUCAUGAAGAUGGAAGGAUGUUGGAUGAUCUCGCCACUAGAAGUGUGGAAUGCUCCUAGAUAAGAGUGAUGCCGCCACUUGAGGACUCCAUUGAUCCAUCAAGAUAAGACUAGAGAAGAGGGCUCCAAAAGCUCUCCAAAGUUCACUCAAAAUUUGAGUAGAGUUUUCUUAGAUUAAUUCCAAUCUAAAUUUUACAAAGAGAGCACCUCUAUUUAUAGCCUAAGGUGCUGAAAAUGCAAGCUAAAACAAUUCAAAUUUCCCCCCUAAAUUCAAAUGCAAGUGGCGCCUAAACCAAGACAUGAGGAAGGUGUGAUCCCUUCUCUCACUUUGGCACCUCCUUAUUUACUCCUACACCUAUCUACUAACACACCCCCCCUAAGACUCCUAACUAAAGACUAAAAGAUGCUUUAACAAUAGAGGUUUCUAAUGUUUCCCUCUAAGCAGCUUUCUAAACAAUAUUUAUUUAAAACUUGGCCUUGCCCUUCAUGGGAUGGUCUUUGGGCUUUUGUGGGCUUUGGCCUUCUUGGGCUUGGGCUUUAUCUUUUGCAAAGAUUAACAAGAAAAGCUUUAAAUGUGAAGGCGAAUGAUCUUGUUCUUCAUUAUAAAAAGCCACCUUUAGUUGAUUCUCAUCAUCACGGUUAUGGCUCUCUUCAUAAGAAUGAUGGUGAUGCUUCCUUCUUCUAUGUUCCUCUUCACGGCCUUCUUGGGCUUGGGCUUGGGCUUUGGGCUUGGGCCUCAUCUUUAUUUUAUGUCUUCUUUUAAUUUUGAGAAGACUAGAAGGAAGAACUUCAAAUGUGAGGGUGGAUGUCCUCUUCCUUCAUUAAUAAAAGCCUCCUUUAUUUGAUUCUCAACAGAGGUCGCCUUACUUGCUUUACCUGAACCACAUUGAACUUUAGAGCGCCUGAACUCGAAGUCUUACCAAGAAAAGGUCGCCUUACUUGAAUCACGGAUAAACCACUCGUACAUAGAGCGCCUGCUUAGAUAAUUUCAUCGAGACAGGUUGUCUUACAUGGCAUUAAACAAUCAGUUAUACACACAUGGCGCCUACUCGGAUGAUCUCACCGAGGCAAGUCGUGUUAUCGUGAAUAAACAAUUCUAAUGCACCAUCUUUCAAGAACAAUUUUUCAUUGGGUGACCUCGUUAAAAAACCCUUUAAAGGGAAAAAUAGUGUCCCCUUAACCAUUACAUCGUUCAUAAAGAAAGCAUUAUCAAAAUGUAUUACUUGAAAUAAAAUUUAAGAUUCACCCCAUUCCAUGUUCGAGGUAUAGCUCCCCCCUCGAGGGUUUCAAGCCUGUAAGCUCCGUUCCCGAGCGCCUCUACUACGUGAAUGGGCCAGUCCACGUUGGAGAUAACUUAUUCUCCAGCUGAUAGGGGUGAGCCUUUCGCAUCACCAAGUCGGCAACCCGAAACUGACAAAGCUUUUACUUGGUCUUUUGCUCCACCCUUCUCUUCAAAGCCUCAAAAUUAAUGCAAGCUUGUUCAUGCACUUCAUGUAGCUGAUCCAGGUACACCUUCCUUCCUUAGUUUGACUCCUCAUUUAAUGUGGCCCUCUUGGAUCUCUACUAGUAUCAUGGUGUCUAACCCAUAUACCAAACUGAAGGGUGUCUCCUUAGUCGUUGACUGAUGAGUAGUGUUAUAAGCCCACAAAAUACGAGGAACUUCUUCCGACCAAGUUUCCUUGGCCUUCUCCAAUCUCCUCUUCAACCCUCUUAGUAAGACUUUGUUGGCAGACUCAACCUGGCCAUUCGUCUGAGGGUGUUCCAGCGAGGAAAAUAUCUGUUUGAUGUCGAGCUUCAUGCAUAGCUUGCAUAACUGUUGACUUGCGAACUGGGUUUCGUUGUUGGACACCAAGUGUCUAGGGAUCCCAAAAUGGCAUACAAUGUUCUUCCACACAAAAUGCUACACCUUGUGAGUAGUUAUUUGUGCGACUGGCUCGACCUCAAUCCAGUUUGUGAAGUGUUCAAUGGCUACCACGAGGUACUUCAGUUGAUGAAUUGCCAAAGGGAAAGGACCCAAGUUGUCUAUCCCUCAGGUAUGGAAGGGCCAUGGUAGAUGGAAUGCCACUCCUCAACUGCUGCGUGGUGCCAAUCAGCGUGCUUCUGACACUCCUUGCAUCGUUGUGCAUGCCUCAUGCAAUCCUUCUUCAUGGUCGGUCAAUAAUACCCAACUCGAACGAUCUUCAACGAGAGAGCUCUUCCUCCGACAUGACUGAUAAGUGCCUAAUUUCAGUAAUAUUUUAUAUUAAAAUAUAGGCACUUAUGAGGAUUUAUUGCUAAUUUACAUAUAAAAUAAUCCCUAAUUUAUGAAUUUAUACCUUUUUACAUUUUUAUGAGCUUUAUUUGAAUAAAAGCAUUUUAUUCCCAAAUUUGGUGUUAAUUGCAGAUUUCUAGGGAAGAUUGAAGAUUUGAAAUAAAGGAGAAUAAUUUGAGCUAAAAAGAUAAAGCCGGAAGAUCCCAGAAUGGAAAAAGAUGCAAAGAAAGAUUGAGCUUUUUUUAUGUUUUAUCAUUUAGCCCAUUAGCGCGACACAGGAAGCAACCUAACCCUAGAAAACUAGGAUAAAUAGAGGGCUAGAGGCUCAACCCUAGUGUGCCAGAUUGAGAGGAAAACACCAUAGAGUGAAUUGUAACCCAAUUGGGAGAAUGGAAGGUGCUAGAAGUAUGCGUGGCUAAUUCUACCUUUGGGAUUGGGAGUAAUCUGUUCAAACUCUUAUGUAUUGAGGUGAUAUCUUAUAUAUUAAUAUUCAGUUCUUGAUUGAUUAUUGGUAUUGUUGUUUUACUUUUAAUUUUCCGUGACAAGUUGAGAAUCUUAAAUAUGACCGGGAGGUAUUUUUAGGGUUCGGACCUAAACAACAAUACUUAACAUAUUUGAGUGCUAGGAAUAGACUUGAAAUGUUAAUUGCUAUUAAACGUCUGAGCUUCAUUCUAAGUUGUUCUUAUAAUUAUGCGAGGGAUCGAUAGUUAGGGGACAUUCUUAAGGAUUUUAUGUGCGAGGAAUCGAUAUAAAUGAUUUUUAUACGGGCAUCAAUUUCAAUCAAAGAACUUAAUAUUGACAUGCUAAUCAAAAUACUUGAGAGUGAGAGAGAUGAAACUAAUCCUUAUUUUUCCAAUUGAAACAACUAAUUCUUUGUCUGUUUUCUUAUUGAUCAGUGCCAACACAAUUAAUUCAAAACUCUUUUAAUUGUUCUGUUUUUAUAUUUAGCGAUUAUUGUACUCGAUAAUUCACGGUUCCUUGUGGGAUCGAUAUUCGUCCUUAGGGACAAUUAUUACUUCUGACAAACGUGGUGCACUUGCCUUAAAAAGUCAUCAAUGACUCUCACAAAUGCCUUCGUGGAGCUCCUUCAUGAUGCGGGUACACUGAUCCCCACUUACAUAAGUGAGGAUGGGUAGGUAUAACCAUGACGAAACAAUUUCCCAUCUACAAGGGUAUACUUCUCCUCAUUCCUCUUAAAUGCCUUUGCCUCUGUAGGUUCUGCAGGGAGCAUACCAUCAACUAGAUAGCGUUGGUAGGGAGUUAUCGAAGUCUUCAUCGUGUGGACCAGCAGGGCCUUCAGAGACUCAUCUCCCAACAAGUCAUAGGUGGUUAUUCUUGGCACUUUUAAGGUCUUCUGUGUCAACGACCGAUGCCUUCUCCCUUGUUGCGAGCUCACCCCCAAGAUCUUUACGCGGUUGUCCUCGGGUAGCCCCCCGACAGUUGUCCUAGGUGACUUCAAGGUCUCCAGAAUGACUGACCUCUGUCGGCCUCCCUUUCCCGAGCUUGCUAGUUUGGACAACAAGUCAUCUCGAGAGUUUUGUUCUCUUGGGACAUGCACUAGCUUAAACAUGGAGAAAGUUGCCUUCAGAAGUGAUCCUGCCGGUUGACUUAGCACAAGAGCGUUGCUUCGUCACCGUCUUCCCCACCAGCUUGUCACCACGUGUCCUCCAAGCCCAUACAGCAGAUAACCUCUCUGAGAACCUGAAAAACACACAGUGGCGCCUCGGCGGCCGGUGGCGCUCCGACGCUCAAGUUAGUGACAAGAACACCCAAAAAACUAAGAGAAAAAUAUGCUUUGUAGGACCGUACUGUAGGCACACAACCCUAGCAGUAUCAGCCGUAAUGAAAACGUACCUCUGCAAAUUCUGUUAAGGUUACCUUUAUAGCUAGGUUUCUUCUCUCUCCAGGCCGUUAUGCUUUUGGACGAGUAGCUCGCAUCCAGCCCUGCACGUGUCGCCAUCUGGGCUGGGAUAACAGGUAGCGCCCAGCCCUACACGUGUCGUCAUCUGAGCUAAGGCAACUUGAGCGUCAUUUCUCCAUCGCUCCCAACCCUAGACGUGUCUUCAUCUAGGUUGGAGUAACUGGUGACAUCCAACCCUACACGUGUCAUCAUCUGGAUUGGGACAACUUGAACGUGAUUCUUGUGUAGUAACCAGCCGCACAGCUAAGUCCUCAACUCAAGGAGCAACCUAGCACAUAAUGUGCUGUGAAACACCACCCGACAUGGCGAGUAUCGGAUGCAACAAAGUGCAUCAUCUCUAUGAUAUCGCUCGCCGCGAAUGGCACCCUCCUUACUGCUACGCCAUGCAUGUUCUAGCUGGGGAAACCUUGCCACCAACGAAUGUCCACUCUGGGAAUCCUGUCGCUGAUGUGCAAGGUGUUCCCCCCAACCCACUCGACCUUCAUGCCCCAUGCUGGUGCCACAAUCGUCUUACUGAACUUACACGCUUGGAAUUACCCUUCUGAGCCUUCAACAGCCUUAACUAAGUUCGCUGGGAGACCCGGCGAUGUGCUCCUUGUGGCGGCGUGUAAACCACCCGAUCUCCUAGCAUUCUCAUAUGGCGACUGCGACGUAACUCUGGUGACCGCCGGUUACGCACACUAGAGAUCGGAGAACGCCAAUUCAGCGAUCGGCGACUAUGCCCACUUCCGAGCCAUUCAUCUUUUCUAGCCUACGCGUUCCAUUGAGCACGCCCCACUCGAGCACGUGCAAGACACGUCAUCACGCCUGAUGACCUGGUCGGUACACAAGCCUCUUAGUCUCGAGCUGCGACUUGUUCGACGAGGAGACUAAAGAGGUUUAAAAUCCGGCAGCUUUCGUGACUUUGCGCGUUGGCGCUAGAACUGUUUACUGACUUGACAUUUCACCAACUCCUUCGAUCGUUCGACACAUGGACCCAUCAACGGCCAUUGUUCGCUGUCGUUUGCGCUUCCUACAACGUUCGAAACCCUUAAACCCUUCGCGCUAUUCACUGUUUCAUUAUCUUUCUUCACCUUCAAGCAUUCUGAACGCUCUCUCUGCGAACUGCGAAACCUACGCCUCCCUCAAUCUUCAACUUCUUUCAACACUCAUCUGAUCAUCAAAAGGUAACUCUUUUACUCCUUCUACUGAUACUUGUUGCAUUUUAAUCGGUUUGCAUCAUCCAUUAACUCUCGCUCGUUCGUUUUGUCUUCUUUGUCUUCGAUCGAGUCAUUCUUUUGCUAUCCUCAUUUCCUCCCUUUUCUUUCCUUUGCAGUUCCUGCGAUGGCUCAGACAAAGUCCACCGCUAACCCACCUUCCUCAUCGCGAAACCCUCCCCCCAAUACUCGUAGGGUUACCACUGGGACAAACCCUCCACCAACACGCAACCCCCCACGAGCCUCUGGUGCCCCUUCCUCACACGCUGAGAGGCCUGCCUCAUCCCGUGCCAAUCUUACCCAAGCAACUCCACCACAGGCCGGGGGAGUCUCCCUUCCUUCUCAAGACUACAAAAAGCUCUACCCUUGGGCCUCCCCGAUUCUACUGAAGGAAACUUCAUCGAUAAAUACUGAUGUGGGGGUACAUCGNNNNNNNNNNNNNNNNNNNNNNNNNNNNNNNNNNNNNNNNNNNNNNNNNNNNNNNNNNNNNNNNNNNNNNNNNNNNNNNNNNNNNNNNNNNNNNNNNNNNNNNNNNNNNNNNNNNNNNNNNNNNNNNNNNNNNNNNNNNNNNNNNNNNNNNNNNNNNNNNNNNNNNNNNNNNNNNNNNNNNNNNNNNNNNNNNNNNNNNNNACCAAGCUCAACAUCGCCCCUGCCCAGCUCCAUCCCAACAGCUGGGCAUUCGUGAGGGCGUUCCAGAUCCUUUGCGCGCACUUGGGGCUACCAUCUUCGGUGGAUGUCUUCCUCUUUUUGUUCGAGGCAAAGAAUCCUGGAGAUCGCCCCUGGGUCAGCCUGAACGGGAUUGCUGGGAGGUCAAUCCUCUCCAUCUUCCAGCAAUCCUACAAAGACUGGAAGGGGAAGUUCGUCAAGGUGUGCCAGAAUGAUCAAGACCCUUCACUGCUUGACAGCUUCCCCUUGUAUUGGGUAAACAAGGGGCACAAGGACCCCAAAGACAACUUCAGGAGACCAAGAAGUCCUGACAACAUGGGGGAGUUGGACAAAGACCUUUGUCUCUUCUGGAAGAGUGUGGCUUCUGCCAACAUCACCUUCCCCACUGCUCAGAUAAUCUCCUUUGAAUUCCUUGAGGACCAACUCGAAAUGUACAUAGGUUAGCCCCUUUCCCAACACCAAAACUCUCACUUUGCGUUAAAACUGACUUAGCAUUUUUACCAUUCUGUCUUCGGCAUUCCAUUAUUCUUUAUUGGCCUUGAUCAUUCAUCCAUGUGCUAUUCGCUUAUGUUAUCUUUGUAUGUAUAUACUUGCAUGUUCUGCUUCCACUUGAGUUACUCAUCUAUUUUUACCUUGUGCAGACGCAAUGUUGGGCAAAGGAAAACUGGCUGAAUUGAGGGCGAUCGCCCGAUCCCACAAACUUGCGGCGGGCUCUCAAACGAUCCCGAACUCUGUUGCGGAGAUCGCCGCCGCCCAGGGCCAAUCCCCACCAGUUGGUCCACCCGCUGCUGUCGCUCUUCCAGCCCCCCUACGCAAAAAACUACCUCUUAAGAAGGCCAAAAGGAAAGCCCCUAGGGUAGUAUCUGACGAAGAGGCGGACGAAAGCACCGAGGACGGGCUAAUCUGCAAAAGGUCCAGGGUGGCGGUUACCGAGCCCUCAGCAAUUGGGAGCGCCGCUCCAAACUUCAUCGAGGACCCCCCCAGCGCCUCCACACCAUUCGAGUCCGCUGGGGAUGUUCUCGUUUCAAACGCUUCAGUUGCUGAGGCCGCUCCUGAGCAACUCGCUGAUACGCAAGCCUCCUCAGAAGCUGCCGAGAAGCUGCGUGCCUUACCACCACGCCUCGAAGCUCCCCCCGCCGUCCAACCUUGUGAGGGUGGUGGUGAACACCAACCUUCGCCUCCACCAGCAAAUUCAGGCCUCCCAGCCGCUCUUCAAGAAGCUUUCAAGUCCUUCACCGUGUGCCUAAGUGCCAUGGUUGACGAUUGUCUUCCCCAAAUCAUCGGCGAAGGGCUCAAAGACUCCUUGGAGAAGUUUGAGCUCGACAACCGGAUCAACCAAGAGGUGACAAGCACCGCGAAAGCUGAAGCCGAAAAAACCAAGUGCGACAUGAUGAUGCAAGGCUUGGAGUUUUUACGAGUUGAAAACGCCCUCAAGGACGAGCUCCAGAGCGUGCGGCAAGAUAACAAAGAGCUGCGCAAGAAGCUUCAUGAAAAACUCCAAGACGCUGUCGAGCUGGAGAGCAAGAUCGUCCCUCUGAGGGAGAAAAUUUCCGCGCUGGAGGAGGCAAAGAAGACUGACGCUCAGAAGAUGGUCAACCUAGAGAAGAGGUCAAUCGAGAGAGAGACCCUUAUGGGAAAGGUUGAGCAAGAUCGUGAUAAGGCCUCCCAAGAACUCAGUGAAACUGCUGCUGAGCUAGCUCGAGUUCGCGAGGAGAACAGCGAGCUCAAGAAGAAGGCCGACAAGCUCGAGCUUGAAGUCACCCAGGUUCGUGAAGAGAACAGUGGGUUCAAGACGAAGAUCAACGAGCUUCAGCUUGAGGCUGCCCAGGUUCUAACUUCCGGCUUUGGCGUUGCUUUAGAGCAGUUUGCUUGCAAAUAUCCUGACCUCGAUCUUUCUGAGUUCUCGGUGUACAACGAAGUGGUGGACAGCAAAAUCGUGCCCCCGAUUGACUUAUCUCCUUGAAAACUCUUAUGCUUUACCUUGGUCUGUAAUAAUUUUCAUUUUGUUCAAACUGUUCGAUGCUCGUAUGCACAUAUAUACAUAUAUAUAUAAUCUUCUAAUUUAUCUGCUGCACAAUCAACUGGUUUAACUAACAUAACUGGCGAAACUUACUCGGCUGCAUGAACUCAGCAAUACUUGAACUUAACCCUUCACAUACCGCUUCUGACUCGAGUAAAUUGCUAACCUUAUGACAAACUUAGCGAGCUAUUAACUCAAAGUAAAUUUGAGCAGCAAUCAACUCUCCGGCAAUGGCACUCAAUAAAACUUGUGAACUUAGGGUAACAAACCUUAACAUAAAAUCACUUACUAUGCAGCAGGUUUUAACUCAAACUAGUAUUAAAAUACAGUUUACCUGAUCUGCUAAGUGAAGUGCCCAUUACUUCCCUCAUUGCCUGGAACUCUUCUAGUCUGGCACUCGCCAUACAACCCCUCCACUGUCUCAACCUUCACGCCAUAGGGUUCUGGCGAUGUUACCUUUCUUCUUUGUAUAACUUGAUCAUUGUUCUCUCAUCUGGGGGUAAAGGCGCCUUUCGGAUCCUUCUCUACCUCCUGAGUUUUAGAACAAUGAUCUGGAUAGCGAGGUGUUCUCUUCGAACCUACCUCAGUUAUCCUUUAUCUUCUUCCACCCUUCACACCGCACCUGAGAUCGUUCAAGACGAGAAGGAUUUUAUCUAUCUUCACACCGCCCGCAAGUGCGGAAGCUUUAUAUGGUCUUACUGGGUCAAUAUUGAUGUUUCACUUAAAGGGGAAAAAGGCGUUUUCCAUCGACCUUCCCUUCUUGCCGUUUAAGGUCACAAACACCCCUGACUUUUCAGUUUCAUCUUGCCUGAACUCACUCUGGGGUGAGAAGGACUUUCUCUGGUGCCUCAACUUGCCCAGGGUGUACAUCUCCUCCCCCCUGGAUGCACUGAGGACUUUUAAUCUUGCCUCAAUCUACUUAUGCAAAGAGGCCUUUCAAUCUGUUCUUGCCUUCACUCGCUCAAAGGCGAGGAGGACUUCUUCUAUUUCUCGCCUGCACUCGCUCAAGGGCGAGGAGGACUUCUUCUUUUGCCUUAAAAUGCACGAGGGCGUUGAGGGCUUUUUACACUACUGGUGCCUCCGAUCGCCGAAAGACGAUGAGGUCUUAAAACUUUUAACUGUUGUCACCGAUCGCCAAAAACGACGGGGACUUUAAAACCUUUACUACUGAAGCAUGCAAUAUGACUUUAAUGUUGCCCUAGAUCACGUACGAGUGAUAAGGUCCUUUUUUUUCUAAAACUUUCGAAGCAAUAAGCAUGCAAACUUGGAAGCUUUAAACUUGAAAAACUCUUCUUUAUUGGGUGGCCUCAUUAAAAACCCUCCUUAGGGAAAAAAGAGUGCCCCCUUGAAAUUGUUUUAACAGAAACUAUUCCAAUCUCGUCAUGUUCGUCUUUACUUACAAGGCUUUAACUGUAAUACAACUUGAGAUGUGUGGCGUUCCAAGUGCGAGGAAUCGCCCCUCCUUCUAACGUCUCCAAGCGGUAGGCGCCAUUCCCGAGCACCUCGGUUAUUCUGAAUGGUCCCGUCCACUUAGGCGACAACUUGUUCUGCAUCUCAUACUGAUGGGCCUUCCUCAUCACCAGAUCGCCACUUCUAAACUGCUUUGUCAUUACCUUAGAGUUGUACCUUCGCUCAAUUCUUCUCUUUACUGCUUCGGCCUUCACUCUCGCCUCCUCCCUGACCUCAUCCAGCAAAUCCAGAUUCAUUCUUCUUUCUUCGUUCGAGUCUUCCGCCACAAAGUUCUGGAAUCUCGGCGAGCUUUCCUGGAUUUCGACUGGAAUCAUCGCAUCACAUCCAUAAACCAAACUAAACGGGGUCUUGUGGGUUCCUGACUGCUCAGUGGUAUGGUAUGCCCAAACUAUGCGGGGUACCUCUUCAGCCCACGAUCCUUUAGCUUUUUCUAAUCUUCUCUUUAAACCUCUCAGCAACACCCGAUUGGCAGACUCCACUUGGCCAUUCGUCUGUGGGUGCUCGACGGAUGCAAACACCUGUUGUAUUCCCACCUCUUCGCACAACUUUUUCAAAAGGUGACUUACAAACUGAGUCCCAUUGUCUGACACCAGGCGUUUAGGCACACCAAACCGGCACACUAUGUUCUUCCAUACAAAGCUCUCGAUCUUGUGUGCGGUGAUCUGGGCCACUGGCUCCGCUUCGAUCCACUUGGUGAAGUAUUCGAUCGCCACUACCAAGUACUUCAUCUGCCUGACCGCCAGUGGGAAGGGUCCCAAAAUGUCAAUUCCCUAAGUAUGAAACAGCCAGGGGCUGUAAAUUGACUUCAGCUCUUCUGGGGGUGCCUUGUGCCAAUCGGCUUGCUGCUGGCAUUGCUUGCAACGCUGGGCGUAUUUCUUGCAAUCUUCUCUCAUCGUGGGCCAGUAAUAGUCUGCACGGAUAGUCCUUGUCGCCAGCGAUCGACCUCCAAUGUGGCUCCCGCAAAUUCCCUCAUGGAGCUCAGCCAUAAUCCUCGUGCACUUCUCUCCGUGUAUACAUACAAGAAGAGGGUGUGUAAAUCCAAACCUGUACAGCUCGCCGUCAAUAAGGGUAAACUUGCUGGAGCUCUUCUUUAUCCUUCUGGCCUCAGUUGAGUCAACUGGAAGCACACCAUCUGCUAAAUAACGUUGGUAAGGCGUUAUCCACGUGUCUGGUUCGUGGACAGCGCAAACCUGCAUCGGUCUUGCCCUUUCCGCUGGGCGCGCUCUAACCCUCGGCACCCUCAGAGUUUCCUACGUUAGGGAUCUAUGACUUCUCGCCGGUCUUCCCAUUGAUCUACAAACAUGGAGAACUUGGUGGUCUGCCACGAAUGCUCGAGGCGCUUUCAAAGUUUCUUGAAUGACAGUCCUCUGCCUGCCCCCUUGCCCGAACUGGCGAGCUUGGCUAGCAAGUCAACUCGAGCAUUCUGCUCUCUUGGCACGUGCACCACUUCAAAUGACAUGAAAGAUCUCCUUAGCUCUUGCACGUACUCCAAGUAGGCUGCCAUUUGUGGGUCCUUGGCUUGGAACUCGCCAGUUACUUGUCCGGUGACCAACAACGAAUCGCUCUUGGCCAUCAGCACCCUCGCCCCCAUUUCCUUAGCCAGCAGAAUUCCGGCGAUCAAAGCCUCAUACUCUGCUUGGUUGUUGCUUGCUUUGAAAGCAAACCUCAAUGAUUGCUCUAUCAACACUCCGUUGGGCCCUUCCAAAAUGACCCCCGCCCCGCUGCCCAGCUGGUUGGAUGACCCAUCAACUGAGAGUACCCAGCGAAAGUCACCCUCGGCGUUCUGUGCCACCUCAGAGGACAACUCGACCACGAAAUCGGCGAAAACUUGUCCUUUGAUCGAUCCCCGGGGUUCAUAUCUGAUGUCGAACUCCGAAAGAUCGACUGCCCACUUCACCAUCCUUCCAGCCACAUCGGGCUUCUUCAAAACCUUCUGGAUUGGCAGAUCGGUCAUGACCAGUACCGUGAAGCUCUGGAAGUAAUGGCGCAAUCUCCUCGCCGAGAAUACAACCGCCAAUGCUGCCUUUUCUAGGGCCUGGUACCUUACCUCCGGGCCUUGCAACACCUUGCUAACGAAAUAUAUAGGCCUUUGGAUCUGAUCCUGAUCUUGCACCAGCACUACGCUGAUCGCCCUCUCAGUUAUGGCAAAGUACAGCCCGAGCGGUGUCAUGAGUUGGGGCUUGCACAGAACUGGAGGGCUCGCCAAAUAUUCCUUGAGCUUUACGAAGGCCUCCUCACACUCCUUUGUCCAAACAAACCUGUGGUCCUCUUCAAACAUUGGAAGUAUGGGUGGCCCUUCUCUCCGCUUGCCGAUACGAAUCGGGACAGGGCGGCCAUCCGCCCUGUGAGUUGCUGCACCUCCUUCACAUUGGCGGGGCUCCUCAUUGCCAAAAUGGCGGCGCACUUCUCGGGGUUAGCCUCAAUUCCCCUCUCUGACAGGAGAAACCCCAGAAAUUUCCCUGCUUCUACACCAAAAACGCACUUUUCAGGAUUCAGUUUUAGCUUGUACCUGGCUAUCGUGAUGAACAACUCUUCCAAGUCUGCGACGUGCUUGUCUUUCUCCAGGGACGUCACGACCAUGUCGUCGAUGUAUGCUUGUACAUUCCUUCCGAGCAUGGGUGCAAGCACCUUGUCCAUCAGCCUUUGGUACGUAGCCCCUGCAUUCUUCAACCUGAAGGGCAUUAACUUGUAGCAAUAACAUGACCUUUCCGUCAUGAAGGCGGUCUUCUCUUCGUCCAUGGGGUGCAUUUUGAUUUGGUUGUACCCCGAGAAGGCAUCCAGAAAACUGAGCAGCUUGCACCCUGACGCACUGUCUACCAGGGCGUCUAUGAUUGGCAAAGGGUAAGAGUCCUUCGGGCAGGCCUUGUUCAGGUCCGUAAAGUCAACGCACAUCCGCCAUUUUCCGCUGCUCUUCUUGACCAGGACAACAUUAGCGAGCCAUUCUGGAUAUUGGAUUUCCCUGAUGUGGCCUGCUGCAAGGAGUUUCUAUGUCUCUUCUUUGAUCGCCUGCCUCUUCUCCUCAUUGAACUUUCUUCUUCUUUGGCGUAUCGGCCUGAUCUAGGGGUCCAUUGCCAAACGAUGGCACAAAAAAUCGGGAUCGAUUCCCGGCAUAUCUGAAGCAGCCCACGCAAACGCAUCCAAGUGUCUACUUAUCACCUUGGCGAUUUGGUCUUGCGUCUUGCUAUCCAGGGUCCUUCCCAACUUAAACACCUUGCCGCUGAUCUCCUUCUCGAGCCAUUCCUCUACUGGCUGAGAUUUCCUUUUGCUGGCGAUCAGCGCUCUCGCGAUACCGAUUUCUCUGGCGAUUUGUGAGCAGUUUCUUUCUCCCUUCCCGCUCUCCGGCCUCCCCUCUACACUCCCCAUCGGCACAUCACCCUCGGCGACCACCUCUAACGCCGAAUCCGAAACUCGCCGGGGUUCGCGCUCUGGCUCCACGCCAGGGGGAGGCGUUGUGGUUACGUGGCACACAGACCUCUUGUUCUUGAGGCUGUUUUCGUAACACUUCUUCGCCUCCUUCUGGUCGGAGCAAAUAGUGAUGAUCAUGCCCUCCAUAGAAGGCAGCUUGACCUUCAUAUGCCUUGUCGAAGGCACAACUCCUGUUCUGUUGAGCGUUGGCCUUCCCAACAGUAUGUUGUAAGCUGACGGGGCGUUUACAACAAGAUACCUGAUCUUCUCCGUUCGUGAGGCCAAGCCGUCAGUGAAGGUCGUCCUCAGCUCGAUAUACCCCCUCACCUCCACUUGGUCGCCGGCAAAACCGUACAAGCAGCCCCCAUAUGGUCUUAGUUGAUCAGGGGACAGUUGUAACUUCUCAAAAGUUGGCCAAAACAUCACAUCUGCUGAGCUUCCUUGGUCGACCAGCACCCGGUGGACGGUCCUUCCCGCCGUGACAAGCGAGAUCACAAUAGGUUCGUUGUCGUGAGGCACCACGUUCCUGAGGUCCCCCUUGGUGAACGUGAUGUCCACGUCGAGCGAAUGAUCCUCAAAGAUUUCCACUGACAUUUCCACCCCCCGCCGGAGAAUCCGCCAGCUAUGGUGUGGAUCUCGCCGUGAAUGGGCACCUCGUGUUGUUGCCCUCCGCUGCUUGCCGGUUGAGACCCUGACGCUUGGUCCGCUUGCUUCUCUAGCAAGUAAUCCUUCAGGAAACCACAUUUGACCAGCUCGGCGAGCUGGUGUCCUAGAGCCAAACACGAGUUGAUAGAGUGGCCAAAACUCUUGUGGAACUCGCACCAUGCGUCUGGCUUUGGCCCCAAAAUCUUCUCCGUCGUUUUCUCAGGCACUUUGAGCUUGGCAACAAUGUUUGGGAUGGCGAUCAAAUCAGCCAAACCCAUUACAAACUCAUACCUUGGGGGGCGAUUACUCUCCCUGGGGCGCCCUGGUCCCUCGCUCUUAUUUUUGUUAGGGUCGUAAGGAUGGCGCGUCCUUUGAUCCCUCUUUCCCGCCGCCGUCUCCGUUACCCUCUGCGGUUGUACCCGUGCUUGGGCGCGCGGUUUAGUUGGGGCCACGUUUCCCCUCUUCUCGGUGACCUCACUUUCGGCGGCGAUGUGAGCCACAACACGUUGUCGGAUUUCAGCAAACGUGGCGGGGUGGCUCCUGAUGAGCGACUCAAUAAAAGGCCCAGGUAACACGCCCUUUUUGAAGGCAUGCACGAACAUCUCUUCGUCCUUUCCGGGCAAACGGACUAUCCGAGCUCCGAAUCUGUUCAGGAAAUCCUUCAGGGACUCCACUUGGUACUGCCUUAUAUCAAACAAGUCGUAAGACACCAAAGGUGGCGCCUUGUUCACUAUUUACUGCUCAACAAACAUCUUGGAAAACUGUUCGAACGUGGUAAUGUGGCCAGUGGGUACACUGACGAACCAAUCCAACGUCGUUCCGCUCAAAGUGCUCAUGAACACCUUACAAUACACCGCGUCUGAGCCCCCUGAGAACAUCAUCUGAGUAAAAAACGCCGUGAGAUGGGCUUCAGGGUCCUCCACCCCAGUGAAAGACGCUUUCACUACCACAGUGUUAGCCGGGAGCACCGAGUCCAUGAUCUCUUGGGAAAAUGGCAUAGGAAAGCUGCAUGGUGGGGAUGGGGGUGCAGAUCUGUCCCCAGCCGCACGCUCCUCCCGCUCCUGAAGGGCUUUGCGCAGCUCUUCGUUGAUACUGUUGAGCUCUUUGUUCCUUGCUUGCGAGGCCACCAGCGCCUCGUGCAUCCUUUCCUGUUCAGAACGUGAUGCAGCCACGUUCUCCUGCAGCGUCCUCAUCAUGUCCAUCACUUGCGUCAUAGACACAGCAUCUUCGUCUGUUGAUGGCGCAACUGAACUGGAGCGUGUUGUCCUCAUCCUUCCUCAGCAAACUCAACAGUUCAAAGAACUCCAAACAAACGGUGAAAACUCCAGGAAUCGACUGCGAUAGCGAGCAGUCGAACAGGAAACACCAAAACACCACAAACACGAACUAUGGUUGGGAAUCACCUUUUAUACGGCCCCACGGUGGGCGUCAGAUGAUCCUGCCGGUUGACUUAGCGCAAGAGCGUUGCCUCGUCACCGUCUUCCCCACCAGCUUGUCACCACGUGUCCUCCAAGCCCACACAGCAGAUAGCCUCUCUGAGAACCUGAAAAACACACAGUGGUGCCUCUGCGGCCGGUGGCGCUCCGACGCUCAAGUCAGUGACAAGAACACCCAAAAAACUAAGAGAAAAAUAUGCUCUGUAGGACCGUACUGUAGGCACACAACCCUAGCAGUAUCAGCCGUAAUGAAAACGUAUCUCUGCAAAUUCUGUUAAGGUUACCUUUAUAGCUAGGUUUCUUCUCUCUCCAAGCCGUUAUGCUUUUGGACGCGUGGCUCGCAUCCAGCCCUGCACGUGUCGCCAUGUGGGCUGGGAUAGCAGGUAGUGCCCAGCCCUACACGUGUCGUCAUCUGAGCUAAGGCAACUUGAGCGUCAUUUCUCCAUCGCUCCCAGCCCUACACGUAUCAUCAUCUAGGUUGGAGUAACUGGUGACAUCCAACCCUACACGUGUCAUCAUCUGGAUUAGGGUAACUUGAACGUCAUUCUUGUGUAGUAACCAGCCGCACAGCUAAGUCCUCAAGUCAAGGAGCAACCUAGCACAUAAUGCGCUGUGAAACACCAUCCGACAAGGCGAGUAUCGGAUGCAACAAAGUGCAACAUCUCUAUGAUAUCGCUCGCCGCGAAUGGCACCCUCAUUACUGCUACGGCAUGCAUGUUCUAGCUGGGGAAACCUUGCCACCAACGAAUGUCCACUCUGGGAAUCUUGUCGCUGAUGUGCAAGGUGUUCCCCCCAACCCACUCAACCUUCAUGCCCCAUUCUGGUGCCACAAUCGUCUUAUUGAACUUACACGCUUGGAAUUACCCUUCUGAGCCUUCAACAGCCUUAACUAAGUUCGCUGGGAGACCCGGCGAUGUGCUCCUUGUGGCGGCGUGUAAACCACCCGAUCUCCUAGCAUUCUCAUACGGUGACUGCGACGUAACUCUGGUGAUCGACGGUUACGCACGCUAGAGAUCGGAGAACGCCAAUUCAGCGAUCGGCGACUAUGCCCACUUCCGAGCCAUUCAUCUUUUCUAGCCUACGCAUUCCAUUGAGCACGCCCCACUCGAGCACGUGCAAGACACGUCAUCACGCCUGAUGACCUGGUCGGUACAAGAAGCAUAACAUACCUGAGGUACGAGGCUAACUGCGGAUCCUUAGCCUAGUACUCACCUAUGACGUGCCCGGUAACCAACAACGAGUCACUCUUCACCAACAAACUUUGAGCACCCAACUCCUUGGCCAACAAUAUCCCUAUCAAGGCUUCGUAUUCAGCUUGGUUGUUGCUUGCUUUGAAGGCAAACCUCAGGGCUUGCUCGAUUAACAACCCGCUUGACCCUUCUAGAAUGACCCCAUCUCCAUGCCGUGUUGGUUAGAGGAUUCCUCCACUGAAAUGACUCACUGGAAGUCAUUAGGAUUUGGUUGAGGACCCUUAGAUGACAACUCUACCAUAAAAUCAGCAUACAUUUGGCCCUUGAUAGGCCCUUGGGGUUCAUACUGCAUAUCAAACUCAGACAACUCAACUACCCAACGGACCUUCCGACCUGUUAUGUCGGGCUUUUGGAGGACGUUGCGGAUGACCAAAUCAGUCAUCACUAUUACAGUAAAGCUGUGGAAGUAGUGGCAGAGCCGCUGAGUUGUGAAUACCACUGCCAAAACGACCUUCUCAAUGGCCUGAUACCGGGUUUCUGGCCCUUGCAGCACCUUGCUCACAAAGUAGACCGACUUUUGGACCCUAUCUUGCUCUUGCACAAUGGUCGAGAUGAUUGUUCGAUCUGUGAUCGUAAAAUAAAGACGAAUGGGAGUACCUGGCAACGACUUACAAAGAACAGGUGGGCUGGCCAAGUACUCCUUCAACCUGGUGAAGGUCACUUCACACUCACGAGUCCAUACAAAUCGGUUAUUCUUCUUCAAGCAUUGAAAUUAAGGAUACCCCUUAUCUCCUCUAACGAACAAGAAUCGAGACAAGGCAACUAUACGUCCAGUUAACUGCUGGACUUUCUUCAAGAUGACAGGGCUUCUCAUUCCUAUGAUUAUCGCGCACUUGUCGGGCUUCGCCUCUAUACCCUGUUCAGCGAGAAAAAACCCAAGGAACUUCCCUGCUUCCACCCCAAACACAUACUUUUCUUGGUUCAGCUUCAAGUUGUACUUUGUUAUCAUAGUGAAUAGCUCUUCUAAAUCAACAAUGUGUUGAUCCUUCUCUUCUGAUGUGGCGACCAUGUCGUCCACAUAUGCCUGCACACUUCGCCCAAUCAUUGGGGCGAGAAUUAUGUCCAUCAACCUAUGAUAAGUGACACCAAUAUUCUUGAGGCCAAUGGGCAUGACCUUAUAGCAGUAGUUAGAGAGCUCGGCCGUGAAGGAAAUCUUACUCUUACCCCUGGGGUGCAUACGAAUCUGGUUGUACCCCGAGAACGCGUCUAGGAAACUCAACACUCAACAACCUGAGGGACUGUCCACCAAGGAAUCUAUACUUGACAGUGGAUAAGAGUCCUUGGGACAGGCCUUGUUUAGGUCGGUGAAGUCGACGCACAUCAUUCACUUCCCAUUAGCCUUUUGUAUCAACACAACGUUACCCAACCACUCAGGAAUUGGAUUUCCCUUAUGUGGCCAGAAUUCAGAAGCUUCUGCGUCUUUUUUUUUAUGAUCAGAUGCCUUUCCUUAUUGAAUUCCGUCUUUCUCUGGACUACCGACCUGACCUUUUCAUCCAUAGAGAGCCUAUGGCAUAAAAAAUAUGGUUCUAUCUCGGGCAUGUCCACGGAUGACCAAACGAAAGCAUCCAUGUGCUUCGAUAUUACCUCGACUAUCUUGUCCUGCAAUUCUUGACAUAUCGACGUGCCGAGCUUGAACUUCUUGCCUCCUAUUUCCUUUUCCUGAACCUCACCAGCAGGUCCAGGUCGCCUUUCAUUGGCGAUUUCAGCUUGCAUAAUUUCUUCUAGCUCUUCCGCCUGAACAGUGAUUGAGUAUGUUCCCCUUUUACUUUUCAAGAUACUCUCAUAACACUUCCUUACCAUCUUCUGAUCAAGCUUGAUGAUGAUCACUCCUUCAUCAGGGAAGGCAACUUCUUCUUCAUGUGCCUCGUUGAGGACACUGCAUCCAACCUGUUCAAAGAGGGUCUUCCCAAAAGCAAAUUAUAAGCUGAAGAAGCAUUAACUACAAUGUACCUGACGUUAAUCAUCCAAGCUGAGGUGCCAUCUGAAAAAGUUGUCUACAACUCGACAUAUCCACGUACUCUCACCUGAUCUCCCGCAAAGCCAAACAAGCAACCAUCGUACGACUUUAGCUGGUUAGAAGACAACUGAAAAUUAUUGAAUGUCGACCAGAACAUCACAUCAGUUGAGCUUCCCUUAUCAAUGAGAACUUAUUGUACCUUUCUUCCAAUAAAAAGACAUAUAUCACCACCGAAUCAUCUUCGUGAGGGACCACAUCCUCCAAGUCAGAGCUCAUAAAGCAGAAGGCGGGCUCUAGUGGAUGGUCAGGUUUCCUCGCCUCAACUAUCAUCACUUCUCUCGCGUAUCUCUUAUGCUUGGAGGUAGUGCACUGUCCUCCCAAGAAUCCUCCCGAGAUGGUGUUCAACUCUCAAUGGAUCGGUACCUCAUGCACUUGGUCCCUAAGAGCAACCUCUUCCUUCGAGACUUCCUGGUCCCCCUCAAGGUAUUCCUUUAAGAAUCCUUCCUUCACCAAACAUGCCAAAUUCCCCCUCAAGGUAACCUAGAGCUAUACAUCGCUCAACAUCGUGCCCAAAUUCCAUGUGGAAUUCGCACCAGACCUCCCUUUGUGGACCAUGAUUCCUGUCAUACUUCUGAGGGAAUUUCUACUUUUUUACAACCCCUGAUAUGCUCAACAAUUCCUUGUAAGACAUUUGGAAUUUAGGUCGAAAUGGAAAAUCUUCUCAGGCCUUCGCCUUGGGGACGUUCUUCCUGGUUGGAUAUGGUGCGCGCCUCAAGUCCGUCCUCUUCUCGGUUGUGGUUUCGUUGACCCUUAGAGGUCGAGAUCGGCUACCCUCCUUAGGUUUUAAGUACCUGGAUAGGUGUUGCUAAGCUUCACAGACACUGCCUCCUUCGCAUUAAUGUGGGCGACAACUUGUCGUCGUAUUUCGACAAAUCUCUCUACCAGAUUUCUGAUCAAUAAGUCACUAAAUGGUCCUGCCAUGACUCCCUAUUCGAAGGCGUUGACCAUCAGGGCCUCGUCAUGGGUCUGGAGCUUCAUUGUAAACGCCCAUAACCUGUUUAAAUAGUUUUUUAGAGACUCACCAUGUCUAUGUUUCACGCUGAAGAGAUCAAAUGAAAUCGGAGGUUUUGCUUGGUUGAUAGAGAACUGUUCCCUGAACAGCUCGGAAAAUUGGUUGAAGAAGGUGAUGUGGCCAUUAGGAAGCCCACUAAACCACUGUAGGGUUGUACAUGUGAAUGUACCCUUGAACAUCUUGCAAUCGAUAGAAUCUGUUCCCCCAGAAAUAAUCAUUUGGGCAUUGAACAUCGUAAGAUGGUUUUCAGGGUUUUCUACUCCUUUGAAACGAUCUUAGGCGUAAUGUAGUGUGGUAGCACAGGCGACUCCAUGAUCUCCUGCGAGAAUGGCUUGGGACGAGCUAUCGGGGGCGCAUUAGAACCUCGCUCCCUUGUAAAGCGUUGAUCAAGUUGUUGUAGAUUCUUGCGCAAUUCAUCAUUGGCCUUGCGCAAUUCCUUACCGUUCUCUCGUGACGCAUCUAUCUCCGGCAUCAGUUGAUCUUGCCUAAGAAUUUUCUCAACUCUAGCUUUUUCAUAAGCUUUUCCUGUUCGGAUUUAGCCUCGGUCAUUAGCAUGUCCUGCUCAGCUUUGGCUUCUGCCAUCAGCCUUUCCUGCUUGAAUUUGGCCUCUUGUUGGAUCCACUCCUGCUCUCGCCUGUAUUGUUCGUUGGCUUCUUGGAGAGCUCUCACAGUGUCCAUGAGCUGUUGUAGGGUGGGGGCGUCGUUCCCUUCAUAUCUUAGCGCUCUUUGCCUAGUGUUCCUCAUAUCGCUGGAAAACUCAAACACAACUAUGGAUGGGAUCAAUUUUUAUCGGGCCCCACGGUCAAAUGUUCUUGCCGGUUGACUCUAGUGACAAGCUCUAACUCUGGUCUAUCUCCUCUGGAAUCUGUUCUACGUCUUAUUGCACUGGAACGUGGCUCCAUUGAAAUAGAAGGGACUCCAUCUGUUUACAUGGGCACCCUUACUCAUGGUGCAACGUUAUAUUUCACUAUGAAUGCAACUUAACCACUACGUGCCGUAAAUGCACACUUAGGUUAAAAUAUAUUUACGUGACUUAACCACUACGUGCACUAACACGCACCCUUAGGUUAAGAAAUAUCUUUUACUAAUAACCUUAUCUUAGAGUAUCAAAAUAUUAUUUCAAUUAUUCUCCAACGGGCUUACUAGUAUAACUGGGCUAAACUCAUGACCCACCUUAUAGGCCCAAUAGACGAGCUGACCUACCUACACCGUGCACCGAGUUCCAAUCACUGAGCACUGAGCACUUUGUACAAUACAAUUAGUAUAUAUCAAUUUAAUUAGUUAUAAUACCUGCAAAAGACAUAUGCAUAGUUAAAACAAGUAAAGAAAAUUACCCUCACUAUAAUCGGUUUUGCUAAUCUAACUGGCCAAAGAAUAAAAUUCCAAGGGGCCUGUCCCAUUGUCUGAACCUCCUUAGUAGGCAUAAGGAUUCGAGAAACAACAUCUCGAACAUCUACAACCACCACUCUUAUCAUAUCAUCUGCAAUUGUUUGCUGGUGGAUGGUUGACCCUAACAUGUACAUUUUACCUAAGGCAACCGAAUAAUGUAAUUGAAAGAAAAUAAAUAAUAUAAUUAGAUUAAACAUAUAUGCAUCAAACAAUAUCUAUAAAAUAAAAAUUAGCUAAGGCCACUAAGCACUUAGAGGGAUCAUCAAUGUACAAUUCGCAAUCUGCAAGGAUAGUAGGACCAGCCUCCCCUGAUCCUUCAGGAGCAUCACAACUCCCCUUUGUACUUAUACGAAUAGGGGAAGGCUUUGAAGUGGUAGCAAAAGGUUCAACAAACAUGGAUGCUAACUUUGCUCGCAUGUCUAAUAACAACUUUGUCUUCAAUUCAGAGUAUACUUCCUUCUUAGUUUCCUUCCUAAUCUCUUCUUUGAGGGACUCCAUCUCGAUUUGACUAAGAUGUGAUUUACUAUAAUACCGAGGUGGAGGACCAAAGAAUUUCAGAUGCCUACCUCGUCCUGCAAAUUAUGUUUAUGUGCAGAUGGGUUUAAUCCUUUUGGUCAAUAUGGAAAAAGUUACUCUUAUUAGCUAGUUAUCCUAACCCCAUACAACUUUCGCCUUCCAUAUGCAUGAAGAGGGUGUUUAUGUUUUGACAGUCUUAUUUCCAAGUCCUUUAAAUCCAAAGCAUAAGAUUGAUGUGUUCUUGCAACCACUCAUAGAUGAGUUAUGCACCUUAAGGACGAAGGGAUAUUGACUUAUGACGUGUCACUAAGGCACACUUUUAUGAUGAAAGUUGCUUUGAUGUGGAGAAUUAAUGACUUAACAGCUUAUGGCAUGUUAUCGGGUUGGUUGGCUUCUGGUAGACUUGCUUGCCCUAUAUGUAUGGAAAGAACAAAGACAUUCUAUCUUAGUCAUAGCCACAAGAUAUCCUUUUUCGACUGUCAUCGUCAGUUUUUUUCACCUGAUAAUUCAUUUUGGAAGAAUAAAAAGGCAUUCAAGAAGAAGUUUGUUGAGAGUGAUCCCCCUUCUCCACGUUUGUCUACUCUUGACAUUUGGAAUAGGGUUGCACACUUACCAAUUUGCACUGAAUUACAAGAACAAAAAAAUAUUCUUGAAUAUGGUAUUAAACAUAAUUGGAAGAAACAAAGUAUAUUCUAGAGGUUGGCAUAUUGGAAAACUCAACUUUUACGUUACAAUAUUAAUGUUAUGCACACAGAGAGUGUUCAUGAUUGUGUUUGACACUGUGAUGGAUAUCAAAGGGAAAACUAAGGACACAAACAAGGCUCGAUUGGAUAUAGCACAAAUAUGAAAUUGAAAAGAGCUAGAGUUGAAAGACAUUGGUGGUGGCAAACUUAUCAAACCAAAAGCAACAUAUGCAUUUACCAAUUCCCAAGAGUCUUUAUUUGUAAAUAGGUUAAAGAACUUAAGUUUCCAUAUGGAUAUGAUUCCAAUUUGGGUAGAUGUGUUUACCUUAAUCAAGGCAAGUUAGAGGGCAUGAAAAGUUAUGAUUGUCACGUGUUCAUGCAACGAUUGCUUUCAAUUGCAUUUGACGCAUUACCAAAAUCAAUUUGGAAAGUUCUUAUUGAACUUAGUCUUUUCUUUAGAGGAUUAAGUUCGAAAACACUAAAUGUUGAACACCUAAGAGUUAUGGAAGAAAAUAUUCUUAUGUUAUUGUGUAAAUUGAAACAAAUAUUUCCACCAAGCUUCUUUGAUUCCAUGGAAUAUCUUUCAAUUCAUCUACCUUAUAAGGAAAAAGUUGGUAGUCCUGUCCAAUAUCGUUGGAUGUAUCCAUUUGAGAGGUAUAAAAUUACUAAUAACUUUUAUAACAUUUUUUGUUUAUUUAUUUAAUAUUUUAUAUUAUGUACACCCGUAUUCUUUUUUAGGUUUUUACACUCCCUAAAAAAGAAAGUAAAAAAUAAAGCUAGGGUGGAAGACUCUAUUUCUAAAGCUUACUUAGUGGAGGAAACAUAUACAUUUGCCUCAUUUUAUUAUCCUGAUCAUGUUGAAACAAGAAGGACUAGGAUCUUUCAUAAUCUUGAAGUAGGUGAGAGUUCUUCAUGUGCUCCUCCUAUUUCAAUUUUCAAUUAUUCAGGAAGAGAAAUUGGAAAAUGCAUGACAUAUUAUCUAAACCAAAGAGAUUUUGAUGCUUCUCAAUUGUAUGUGUUAGAAUUGUAGGCCUAAAACAAGAGGGGGGUGAAUUUUUUUAAAUUUUUUUUUUUCAAACUUUGAAGGUGUGGAGAAAGUUAAUGAAGAAUCAAAAACAAAGGAAUGAAAAUGCUCAAGUUACAAAACUGCUUUGUUGAUUUCCAGAAAAUCAAUCGAUUGUUUUUGCGAUUCAACCGGUUGUUUUUAUCAGCAGUUUAUAAAAACAACUAAAAGCAUAUAUAAUUGAGAUUAGGGAAAGAGAGAAUCACACAAACAAAUUUGUACUGGUUCACUUUUACACCAAGAGCUACAUCUAGUCCCUAGAAAUCACUAGGUAUUCCACUAUGUAAUCAACCACAGAUUACAACCCCACACACACACCAAAGAAGUGAUCUUGAACCCCUAAAAAACACAAACUUCCUUUAGCAAUACAACACACGACAAAUCAGAACACCCUCGACUCUGUGCAACACAAUUCUUUACAUAAAUACAAAGAUUAAAAGAAGAGGAAAGAGUACACCUGGAUCAAUUCACAAAAUAAAAAAAUGACUUAACACAUAAUAGUCUGAUGAGCAUAUAUUUAUUCACACUUAAUAGCUUUAAUCAUAGAUUAUUGGACUAUAAUAAUAAAUAAAUCUGUUGUUUUAAUUAAUAUUUGUACCGCCCUGGUAGUCGGAAGUGAUGACGUGGCAUCAAACUAUUGUAUAGGCGUGUUGAUGGGAUGCCUGGCUGGCAGAAGGGAAGGAAGUCGAGGGGCUCGUGUAGUCGCCAGUUAUUAAGUUGGCGUGCUCCGAUCUCCAGCACACCAGAACCGGCGGUCACCGGGUUGAAGAUGAAGUCGCCAGAUGUAAACCCAGGCGACCAAGUGAUUAGAGAUCGUCGAAACAAGGACAUCGCCGAAGAUGAAGGCAGAUAGACAUUUCCCAGCUGGCCAGAGGAUGAGGUCGGGGGACAGCUUACUUGAGCAUAUACGAUGAAACAGGCGGUGCAGAUCAUGAAGGCGGCCGGCGAGACCACAGGGAAGGUGUGUACGAAGGCACCCAAACUCGCCAUCCAGAAGAGAUCACGCUCCAAGGCAACUAUGCACUGAGUAGUAUCAUGCAUAAGUAACUUAGCCAAAAGAGAGUCAGAAGUAGCGCCCAAGUCAAGGAUGCUCCAGAUGAUGGCACGUGUACAGCUGGAUGCGAGCCACGUGUCCAGAUGUGUAACUGCCAGGAGAGAGAAAGUGUCCAGGUAUAUAAGAGUUUCCCAACGAACUUCUGAGGUACGCACGUUCAGAUUGUCUUCUUUACGCUUGCGAGUCUUGAGUAUACUGAGAGAGAACAUUGCACGGUUCCUUGAGAGUUCUUGAGUGUUACUCUUAGUAAUUGGUGGUUCAGUCGCUGACUUGGGCGUCGGAACGUGAUCGGCCGCAGCAACGCCGUUCUGUUCUUUUGCAGGUUCUUGAGGUGAAUCACGGUGAAAGACGGAGGCUGACACGGCGCACACGUCAAUCCAAGUUUGACGAGGCAAAGCUCCAGCGUUCUGGUCAACAGGCAGGAUCAUCAGGCGCCCACCGUGGGGCCGUGUAAACCUGUUCCCAUCCACAGCGCGAGUUCUUGGAGGUUUCUGCAGUUUCCGUGUGGUUGUGUGCUGGUGCAACCAUUGUCCGCUGUUCAUCUAGGUUUUGUUCGGUGAUUUCGCGUUUUCCACCGUUCGUUUGGAUUUUUGUUCGGUGAGGUGAACGUUCUUGCUGCUUACGCGAGUUUUGAUCGGUGAGAUCUGAGUUCUUUGGCUCGUUUGGUUUUUCGUGGGAGAAGCGUCAGUUUCUGGUGGAGUUGCAGGUUUUUGUGGAGGUUCGCUGUGUUCUUGAGGUUUCUUUCGGAGUUUCGCGAAAUUCUGACCGAUUGAUCGCUGAAUUGAUCGUCGCUGAAGAAGGUGUUGUUCAUUACUCUCUGUGAUUUGUCAAGUUUUCAUGAGAAAAAUGAGAAGCAACCGUUCAAGUCCAGUUGCGCCCGUUGCCGCUGAAGGCGCCAUGACUAUGGCGCAUAUGGUGGAAAUCAUGCAUUUGCUGCAGGCGAAUGUGGAAGCCUCGCAUAUAGAGCAGGCAAGAAUGCACGAGGACCUGGUCGCCUCUCGGGCCAGGAAUGACGAGCUUAGCAGAGUGACUGAAGAACUGCGUCAAGCUCUUCAAGAACAGCGAGGGCGUCCAGUCGCUGAAGAGGUCGCGCCGUCAACGCUGCCUCGCGUUUUACCUAUGCCUUUUGCUCAGGCGAUUACCGACACGCCUAUCCCUGCGAGUGUGGUACCUGUGAAGGCUAUUUUCACCGGCGUGGAGGAUCCUGAAGCUCAUCUCACCACGUUCCAUACGCAGAUGAUGUUGUCAGGAGGAUCAGACGUCGUGUACUGCAAGAUGUUUGUGAGCACACUCCAGGGAACGGUGCUGGAAUGGUUUGUGAGCCUGCCUACAGGUCACAUAACAAACUUCCAACAGUUUUCAAAGAUCUUUGUCGAGCAGUACAUCGUGAACAAGGCACCGCCCAGGGUGUCUUAUGACUUGUUCGACAUAAGGCAGUAUCAGGGAGAGUCCCUCGGGGACUACAUGAAUCGUUUUGGGGCGCAGAUGGUCCGAUCGCCGGCCAAAGAUGAAGAAAUGCUGGUCUACGCAUUUAAGAAGGGCGUGCUGCCGGGACCAUUCUGCGAAGCAUUGAUCAGGGCUCACCCUGCCACGUUUGCUGAGGUCAGGCGACUUGCGGUGGCCCACAUCGCCGAUGAGAGUGAGGUCCCCGAGAAGAGAGGAAGCGUGGCUCCCGCUAGGCCACGCGCCCAGACCAGGAUCCAGCCACAGAGGGUGUUGGAGACAGCGCCGGCUAGGAGGGAUCAGAGGACUCGCCAUCCUUACGAUCCAAGGAAGAACAAGGACAGGGGCCAAGGGCGCCCUCAACCAGCACGCCGGGAGUACAAUCGCCCGCCUAAGCACAAGUUUGUCAUGGGAUUGGCGGACCUGAUCGCCAUUCCCAAUAUAUCAGCUAGGUUGAAAGCGCCCGAGAAGGUGGGUGACAAGGUGCUGGGACCAAAGCCAGACGCCUGGUGUGAGUUCCACCAGGGCUUUGGCCACACCGUGGAUUCGUGCUUGGCUUUAGGAUACCAGCUCGACGAUUUGGUCAAGAGCGGGUUCCUAAACGACUACUUGCUGGACAGAAGGACGGGGGGCGCGUCGAGCUCCCAACCAGCAGGUGGUGAGGCUCAGCAGCACGGGAUGCCUACACACGGGGAAAUCCACACCAUUGCAGGGGGUUUCUCGGGUGGUGGAUGCACCGCGUCACAAAGGAAGAAGUACGCGAGGUCUGUGAUGACGGUGGAUAUGUUUGAAGACCACUCGCCGGAUGUGGACAUUACGUUCACAAAGCAAGAUCUUCGGGACGUUGUGCCUCAUGACAACGACCCCAUAGUCAUCUCGCUGAUCACAGCAGGAAGGAAGGUCCACAGGGUUCUGGUGGACCAAGGAAGCUCGACAGACGUGAUGUUCUGGCCGACUUUCACGCAGUUGGAGCUACCCCUUGACCAGCUGAGGCCCUAUGGAGGGUGUUUGUAUGGUUUCGCUGGUGACCAGGUGGAGGUCAGGGGGUACAUUGAGUUGAGGACUACGUUUACAGAUGAGGCGGGUUCGAGAACAGAGAAAAUCAAGUACCUUGUCGUAAAUGCUCCCUCAGCAUACAAUAUUCUGUUGGGAAGACCCACGCUCAACAGAAUAGGCGCUAUACCGUCGACCCGGCACAUGAAGGUGAAGCUGCCGUCUAUGGAGGGGGUGGUGAUCACCAUCAAGUCCGACCAGAAAGAAGCGAAGAAGUGCUAUGAGAAUAGCCUGAAGAACAAGAGGUCGGUGAGUUACGUGACAACCACCCCGCCUCCUGGUGUGAAGCCCAGACCGACGGUAAUGGAAGAGACCGCCGGAAGUGACGUGGUGAUGGCGGAUGCUGAGCUGGGGGAGGGGAACGCCGAUCUAGAGGAAGAAGAGGCAAGGAAUCGCCCUGAGGAAGCGAGGGAGCUGGGAAUCGCCAGGGCGGUGAUCGCCAGAGAAACCAGGCCAAAACCCGUCGAGCAGUGGCUCGAAAGAGAGAUUGGAGGAAAGAUCUUCAAGCUGGGAAGAUCUCUGGAGGUUGAGCUCUAGGACCAGAUCGCCAAGGUGAUAGAACGGCAUCUGGAUGCGUUUGCAUGGUCCGCUUCGGACAUGCCCGGGAUCGAUCCCGAUUUCCUGUGCCAUCAUUUGGCGAUGGACAAUCAGGUCAGACCGGUACGCCAGAGGAGAAGGAAGUUCAACGAGGAGAGGAGGCA